AUUAUUAUUAUUAUUAGGGUAAAUUACAAACACCCCCCUGAGGUAUGGUCAAAUUACAAAACACCCCCUCUUGUUUGGAUAAUUACAUCUACCCCCUCAACUAUGAUUUUUUCUUACACCUCCACCCUUAUUGUGCCAAAUUCAACAUAAUCAUCUAGAUUCCGUGGAAUGUGCUCUAGUUUGUACUCGUUUUGUGUAAACAUACAGUUUCCGAUGCACCACAAACUAAUAUAUACAAGCGAAAAAUCACAUAUUAUGAUCAACUUGCUUCAUAAUGUAGAGUUUGAAUGGGAUAAAACGGGUACACAAGCGAUAAUAUUCCAUAUAAUCUCGAAGAUUCCACUUAAUUUGAGGAGUUGAGGGGUGGUUGUAAUUAUCCAAACAAGAGGGGUGUUUUUGUAAUUUGACCAUACCUCAGGGGGGUGUUUGUAAUUUACCCUUAUUAUUAUUAUUAUUAUUAUUAUUAUCAUUAUUAUUAUUAUCAUUAUUAUUAUUAUUACUAUUAUUAUUAUUAUUAUUAUUAUUAUUAUUAUUAUUAUUAUUAUUAUUAUUAUUAUUAUUAUUAUUAUUAUUAUUAUUAUUAUUAUUAUUAUUAUUAUUAUUAUUAUUAUUAUUAUUAUUAUCAUUAUUAUUAUUAUUAUUAUUAUUAUUAUUAUUAUUAUUAUUUUUAGUAGUAGUAAAUUGAGAGGAAAGAGAGUGUAGAUAUUAAUGAGGAGAGAGAAAUGAGAGGAGAGAGAGUGUGAAUAUUAAUGAGGAGAGAGAAAUGAGUUGAUGGAAUAAAAUAUAUAGGUUAGUAGUAGGUUUUAGUAGGUUUGAAAAUUGAAAAAAGUAUGAAUAGUGUAUUUUCAAUAGAAAUUUGAUAGGAAAAAAUGGGAUUUUCUGGAUAAAAUUGUGAAACAAACAUGAUCUCGGUUUUAUGAAUAGUAUAGAACUGGAAAUUGGUUUUGGAAAUAAAACCAAACAUCCCCAUAGUAUUUGUAAAAUGUAAUUAAUUUGUUUCUUUAUUGACUUUUUAUAUACUGUUAAUUAAUUAAAGCUAGCUUUAUUAUUUCUUAUCAUAUAUUAUUAAUUAAUUAUUUAUUUAAAAUAAAUCAGUAUGGAUAGUUGUGUUUUUAUAUAUAUGUAAAAUUGCAUGUAAUAAGCAAAUAUUGUGUUGACUUGAUAUAAUAAUAUAUAGUUAAUAAUGGGAUUGAUUGGUAGUGGCAUAAAAGUGUGAAGUUUGACAAAAAUCAAAUAUGACACACCUCACAUGACUUAGGCCUAACCAUGUCGUGCACUCUGCUUUUUCAUUUAUUAUUUAUUUACUUAUUGUAUUUUUUUUUUUAUUCAUUUCACUAAUAAUAAAUAUAUGUAUAUUAAUUUCACUAACCGUGCGUCCGUUAAAUCACAGUACACUAACCAAUAAGCAUGUGUGACAAGCUCAAUCUAGCAACAAUUUCAUAAAUUACGACAUAUGAUGUUGCUCGCAAGAGUGAUAUGGUUGAUGAAAUAAUAAGAUAACAAUUUUUUAAUUGUUCUGAGUUCGAUUUUCUCUGCCAACAUUUUUCAGGUCGAGUCAAUAUAUCAUGGUUUACCAAAUACAGUUUACGCUUCGUGUGAUUUGUAGAUUGUUGCGGAAAGUAAAUAUUUUCGUAGCGAACAUACGUGGUUGCGUGUUUCGUUCGUAAAAUAAAUAAAUAAAUAAAUAAUAAUGAUAAUAAUCUUGAGACUAUAAUAUGGUAAUAAAAUAAUGGGCUUUUUGGGGUUGAUUGGGCCAGGAAAAGGCCAUAUGGGCUUUUAGUUAUCGAAUUGUUUAAUUUGCAAAAUAGUAAUUAUGUACAUGAGGCCCAUACACUGUCAUGCUCAUUACACCCAUCCUCUUUUUUUUUUUUUAAUAUAAUUUUUUAUUGUCAAUUAUAAAAUAUAUUAUUCAUUUGAUAUAUUAAUUUUUAUACUAAAUACUUCUAUAAACUCACAAUACGAUUGAAGUUAGUUGCUGGUGGCAAUUUCUUAGUAUAUAACCAAGUUUACUUGUACUCUUGAGAAUCAAGUUCAAUUCUGUAUAAAUAUUCAAUUUAAACGAAUCGCUAUCAAGAACAGUUCACCGAAAUCGAAGCAAAAAAGAAAACUCUAAUGCUGCAUAAACCCUAGUAUGAGAAAUUUAAUCUGAAAUUUAACGAAUCAACUGAAAUAGUGUAGACGCAUAAAAUUAAUUAAUUGGUUAAUUAAAUUAGCCAAUUAAAUUGUGUCUAAAUUAAAUUAUAAUUUAUCUUUGAAAAUAAGUUAUGGAGAUAAUUAUCAAUUAAUUAUUGGCCAAUAGGAUUAUUUCUUCUCUUCCAAGUUAUAAGAGAUAAAUAUCAAUUUAAAUAGAGCCAAUCAAAUCGUGCCACGUCAUCAAGUAGACUUUAAGUAGGACUCUUAUUCUACCACUAUAAAUAGGGACCCUCUCUACACAAUUCAAGAGACAACUCAAGAAGGAGAAAAACCGUAGAGAAAAUUCUCUCUACAAUAUUCAAGUCGUUCUUCAACAAAUUCAAGGCGUUCUUCAUCAAAUCGAGGGCGUUCUCCAACAAAUUCAAGGCGUUCUUCAUCAAAUCGAGGGCGUUCUUCAACAAAUCAUGAUCAAAGGAAGAUUGAAGGGCCAAAUCCAUCAAGAACUCCAAGAUCUUCAAGUCAGAACCCGUCAAAGUUCAGCGUUCGACCCGAGAUUCAAGUCGCAAGACCCUUGGAAGACGUUAUUCAAAUCCAAAUCAAAUCCGGAGAAGAUCAAGUCAACGACCCGACUCCGAAAUUCAAAGUCAAACAAAUAUUGUUCUUGAGAGAAGAAUCAGAGGAUUAAAUUAGAGUUUGUAACCCGCAAUAUAUUUAUUUUCAAUUCAAUAAAAUUAUCUUUGUGCAAGUAUUUCUUGUUUGUCUAAAUCGCAGAUAAGAAUUUGUUGUUACAAAUAGAACACACGAAAUAUUCAUGAUUUAUGUGUUACUAAAGGGAGAAAUUUUUUUUAUCCUCAAGAUAGCUUGGCGACUUCUCACUGAUCCAUCAUCUCUUUUGACCAGACUUAUGAAAUACAAAUACUACCCAACAAAUACCAUUCCCAAUGUAGCUAAACCAAAACCACAUCAUAGCAGUAUUUGGAAAUCAAUAUAUAAAUGUAUUCAUAAACUGAGAGAAUGUCGGUUUUGGCUGGUUGGCAAUGGCGAAAAAAUCAAUUUCUGGACAGAUAAAUGGAUUGAUAAUAUUAUUAUAGCCGAUUAUGUUUCUUGCAUCCCUGAUCAUCUAGUAAAUCUUAGAGUUUCUAAUCUUAUCCACCCGAUUCAUCAAUCAUGGGAUCUUACUUGUGUUUCAAGUUUUAUACCCCAAUAUAUUGUUGACAAGAUUUUGACUAUUCAUAUACCCGAACAUCGUCGUAAAGAUACGUUUAAAUGGGCAUUUACAAAAGAUGGCAUAUUCACCCUCAAAAGUGCCUACCUUUGGUUAUUUAAUGACCAACAUUCAAGUUUUACUCCUUCUCUCCCAUGGCAAACCAUUUGGAAAUCCACGGUAAGUCCGCGUAUUAAAUUUUUUCUCUGGCAACUCUCUCAUAAUUGUCUGCCUACAUCCGACUUCCUUUAUAGAAGAAAAGUGUUAAGAAUAAAUACAUGCCCGUUGUGUGGAACCUACCCCGAAACCAUCACGCACCUUUUCUUCCAAUGCCAUAAACUCCAACCUCUAAUCCGCAAACUCACACACGUUCCCUCUGAAACUACAUCUCAUUUUUGUAGUCUUGCAUAUGCCCUUUUAAAAAAAUACAAGACCUAUCCGAACCAACUUUACACCCUCCUAUGGUUUAUCUGGAAAGCUCGUAACAACUUUAUUUUUCAUAAUAUUCCAAUAAAUAUAAACCAAAUCUGGCUUCUUGUGAAAAAUAGUUUCAUCCCUAAUAUACCACCUAAACCUAACAAAAUUACAAUUAGCCUUCGAUGGCAGCCUCCACCGGUUAAUUGGUACAAACUAAACAUCGACGGAUCAGCCCUCAUGAACCCCGGAAAAGUCGGCAUAGGCGGUAUUAUCAGAGAUAACACAGGAACAUUUAUAAUGGCAUUUGCAAAGAAUAUUGGGUAUACUACUAAUAAUGCAGCAGAAAUGUGGGCACUAUACAUUGGUUUAAAAAAAGCAAAAGAACUUGAUAUACAUCGACUUGUUAUUGACACCGACUCAUCUUUUCUUUUCUCUUGCCUUGACAGGAAGGAAGCUCCUCCCAGCUGCAUGCAAACUCUUCUGAAGGACCUUCGCAGAAUACUAUCUAAAUUCUCGGAGGUGGUGGUUAACUUUUGCUAUCGGGAACUAAACUACGUAGCGGAUGUAUUAGCUAAAAUGGGGUCAUCCUUAGAUACGGAUGAAAUUUUGUUGUACGAUAAUUGCCCCAGUUUCCUAGAAUAUUAUAUGUAUCAGGACCUUUUCUCGGUGUACUCUCGUAGUACAUCCAAUCCUUGUAAUUGUACUAUGGUCUUAAGUUCUUAAUAUAAUAUAUCGUUUGUUCUUGUUCAAAAAAAAAAAGGGAGAAAUUUUAUUUCUUUGAAAUUAAUUUUGUUUUAUUUUAUAAAGUCACACUAUUUUUCCUUCCAAUCAAUUCUCUAAUUAGUUUUCCCUUUCCUAAGCCAAAUAUUGAUAUUUAAUUAAAAGUCAAAUCCUAGUGAAUUAUCAACCAAAAAAAAAAAAAAGUCAAACCCUAGUACUAGUGGUAGUGGUAGUGCAUGUGUAUGCACGAGCCACCCAGGAAUUUUGGUUGCCAUUUCUCACUUUGUAUCUAUCUAUAUAUAUAGGGCAUAUAUACAUACAUUGCCUCACAAUAUUCAUGCUACAAUAGAAAAAAAUAAAAAUAAAAAUGAAAAUAAAAUGGAAUAAUUGGAUAGUGAGGCAUCCAACAAGGGCAAACAGUUGUUCACCAUUCAAAGUGGCAUGAAUUAGAUGAGGAAAAAAGCAAUAUGUUGUCGGCCAAAAGUUAUACUCUCAAUUGUAGCUAUCUUCAAGAUUUCAUUUUUUUUAUUUAAUUAGAUAAAAUUACGGCCACCCCCGAAAGUAAGGUAAAAUUACAAAAGAACCCUUCAUGUUUGAGUAAUUACUACCGCCCCUCAACUAUGAAUCUUCCUAUACGUCCACCACUACGUUAUCAAACUUAGUGGAUUCUUCUUCAGUUUGUACCCGUUUUACCUAAUUUGGUCUUCACAUUUUGAAACAAGAUGAUCAUAACUUGUAAAUAUCAGAUUGUGGUGCGUCAAAAACUGAAUUUUUGCACAAAAUGAGUAGAAGCUAGACAACAUUCAACAUAAUGUACAAAAUCAUAUUGAAUUUGACACCAUAAUGAUGGACGUGUAAGAAACUAUUCAUAGUCGGCGGAUAGUUGUAACUACCAAAACAAGAGGGGUUUUUUCGUAAUUUCACCUAACCUAAAAAAAUUCUUACAAAAGGGUCCCUCAAUUUAUAUGAUAGUGAUAGGAUCCGACCGAGAAUAUGGGGUUUGAAAAAAACAACAUGGUAAAAAGGGAAGAAGCACAUUGGCUAGUGGGAGAGUAGAGUAUGUUUUAGGAGUCUUGUCUUGUGAAAAAGAAAGAAAGAAGAAUACUAUGGUCUUUUUUCAUGUCAUGGGAUAAAUAUAUAACUUGUACCAUUGCAUUUUAUAAAGUCAUAAAAUUUUCUUUUAUUUUGCAAACUCAUCCCAUCAAUAGCCCAACAUAGACUAGUACUACAUUAUUAUUUGAUGAAAUUGGCAUUUUUUUUUUCAUAAAAAAGAAAAUAAAAUCAUCAUAGCUUUAGAUUUCCUUUUUUUUCCCCUCCAACAUAAUAUAGGAUAAAAUUACAAUCACCUUCCCAUGUAAUGACUAUUUACGAAAAACCUCUCAUUUUUUAGUAAUUAAAUCCAGUCCCCCAUAGUUUUUAAAUUUUUUGCAUUCACCCUCUACAAAAGCGUGUUAGUGUAAGAAAUCUACAAAGUGUAAGAGGGUGGAUGUAAUUAUGGGAAAAUGAGGGGGUUUCAUAAAUAAAAGUUACCUCAAGGACAUAGCACAAAUUUCUACUCAUUUACUAUAUCGAACACGUGGCAGUGACUUACGGUAUUCAUUCGUGUGUCUCUCUCGGUUUCGAUUCUGAAUGCUUGUUAUAAUACAUUGGAUUGUACUUUGGCAAGACUUUAUCUUAACAAACUAAUUUAUUAAUCUCAAAAAGGCCCUCAAAUUGUUUAGUAAUAAUAAUUUUAGGGGGGUUGGGGUUUGAUGUGGAAUAAACUCGUUAAACAUAAUUAUGAAAAGGGAAAUGAACCCACUUUAUGACAGCACGAACGGUUGACACAUAAAAGGGGAACUAAUUAAGUGGGGUUAAUUAAAUUAUUUAAUUAAAAGUGUAACAAGAUAUAUUAAUUAUCAUGUUUUAAAACUUGGCUGCUUAUGAUUGGAGGGAGGCCCUCCAUAAAAGCAAAUAUUCCACCAGAAUAAUUUAUUAAUAAAUCUCUUAUAUAUACUCAAUCUGUUCCAUAAUGACUGUCUUUUUUUUUAAAUAUUUUUGUUUCAUAUUUUCUGUCACUUUAGAAAUGCAUUUUUUCAUGUUUUAACCUUAUUAAUUCAACUAUAAGUAUUAACUCUCUCUUAUCACAUUAUUAAAUAAUUAAGGUUAGUUUUAUCAUUUAUAAUGUAAGGUCAAUUUACUAAUUCCCUUCCCCUAAAAAAAUUCAAAUUAUGAAAAAAAUCAUAUAUGUUUGGAUAAUUACAAGCUACCCAUUAAUUAUGAUAUUUCUUGCACGUUCACUUUCAUGCUGUUAAAUUCAACAUAAUUUUAUACAUUCCGUGAAAUGUUUUCUAGUUUGUAUUCGUUUUUUGUGCAAAAUGCAGUUUAUGAUGCACACAAUAUGAUAUUUCAAAAUAUGGAGUUCAAAUGGGGUAAAAUAUGUACAAACUGAAAAAUAUUUCACAGAGUCUAGAAGAUAGCACUAAAUUGAAUAGUGCAUGAAUGAACGUGUAAGAAGAUUACUAGUUGACGGUCAAAUUGUAAUUCUUGAAACGUGAGAGGUUUUUCCUUAAUUUGACCUCGCGGGUGAGACGGUAAUUUCCCCUAAUAUAAUACAAAAAAUAAUUUAUUUUAUUUUAAUUAAGAUGAUAGGAUAAAUUUAUGAGAUCAAUAUAUUGUUUUGUCCAUUAAUAAUUAUGACACCAAUAAUUUUCAUUGAACUCUUUUCAAGAUAAAACAAUAAGAAUUUUACAAAAGUCUGACCCUUUUUAUUUUUAGGGUUUUUAUUGAAUUUUAAAUUAUAUAUUUAUCGUCUCAUUAUAAAUUUAAAUCAUAGGGGUUAAGUGUAGGCACUGGUGAUGGACAAGACUUAAAGCAAAUACUACUCAGGAAAAGCUAUCUUGGAAGAACCCUAGCUUCCUACAAUAUUUCUUUGCCCUAAGGCCUAUUACAAAUACAAUAAUUAUUAUUAUUAUUACAAAUUAGCUGUAAAAAAUCUUUUAUACUUUUAUUACAUAGAUGCUGGCGUCAUCCCCCUUUUUUUAAUUUAAAAAAAAAUCAUUUUCAUGAUUAAAUAUAUGUUGUUUGUUAUAACAGAGGCUGUAACCCUAAUUCAAAUAUUACUUGAAACCCUAACCUUGGAGACUAAGACAGGCUACUAUUAGCUAUAUUCUUACUGUCUGAAAGUGCCUUAAUCAAAGAUUUUUUGUACUUACUAAUAGUCUUUGAUUCUUGAUCAUGUCACAUAAUUUUAAAUAAUUAUAAUAGAUAAUAGAAUAAAAUAGAAAGUUGAUAAAUUAUUUAACUCAACAUAUAAUGUAUAUCAGGCAUAUUGCAAUAGGGUUUUUUUUUUUUUUUUUUUUCUUUUAACAGUUAAAUGAUGAGCAUUUAAUUUAAUUUAAUUUCAACUAUUGAAAAAUGAAAUUAAUAAGGUUAGUAUAAACAAGUCACAUUAAAGGGUCAGAAUGUUCUUGAAAGGAACUGACAGGUAAAAAAACAUUUAUUCAUUUACAAUAAUUUUACAUGCCAUCAAUUUAUACUAACAAUUUAUACAUAUAUAUAUUUAUAUGUAUUUUAUUUAUUUAAAUUUUUUUUUGAAUAGACAGAAGAGACAUUUGGACUGCCCCUCGAAAUCAAAUCAAAUCAUUAACUUUAAAUAAAUUAAAUAAUUCUUCUAGCUCGUCCUUACUAUGUUCAACAGUUUAAUAGUCUAUUCAAUCUUUUGAACAAAGUAAUUCACCUGUUAAAUCAAGAAAAAUACUUUUUUUUCCAGUAAAUAAACUAAAUAUAUGCUCCUUAAAUUUAAUUUACACUACAAAAAAUAACAAAAAAAAAAUUAAUUUAAAUUGAUAUGGCUUGGCUCACGUUUGAAUUUGUUAAUUUCACAUAGUAAUAGGUGUGAAAAGUGGUAGAAUCAAAUAUAGUAUUUUACCCUAAAAAAGUUCAAAUUCAUUUUUUUUCGACGGUGAAAAAUUAGUUUUAAUUCGUUACAACCCGUAAUUCGGAAAUAACAAUCACCUUUUAAUUUGUUAAUUUCACAUAGUAAUAGCCAAUAGGUGUGAAAAGUGGUAGAAUCAAAUAUAGUAUUUUACCCUAAAAAAGUUCAAAUUCAUUUUUUUUCGAUGGUGAAAAAUUAAUUUUAAUUCGUUACAACCCGUAAUUCGGAAAUAAUAGUAUUUUUUAAAAUAAAAAUUAAACUGAAUUUGGAAAUUCCAUUAAUCCAGUUUGUGAGACUAAAAAUGAAGAAACAGGAAUUUACAAUGUUUAUAUGAAGGUAUUUUAACUGUGUAAAUUGGAAUGAGACAAGUCAUAUCUGAUUAUUUGCUGUCAAUAACAGAUGGGUUAAAUAUUUCAUUGUUCAUAAUUCUGUUCAUGUGGCCAUCCUGCACAACAUAAUUCUACAAAAGAUCCAAUUGGCUGUUUUCUUUCGUGUAUAUUAGAAGCUCGAUAAAUUAAUAACUUUGUUUCAAUAACAUUUUAUCAAAACUCAAAUGUUACUCGUUUCGCUUGUGAACGGGAUUUUGACUAUUUUCUAGUGUGAUUUCAGCGAAAUUCAACAGGAUGAAACUGUACUCCCUUGAAAUUGUCUUGUAAUCCAACUUAAUUCAGUUAAAUUGGAUGUCGGUUAACAAAAUCAUGCAUCAAUGAGUUACAUUUCGAAUUUUAAAUAUCUCAAAACAUCAAAGUUGCAGACACUGUUCAUCGAUUCAUGCAUAUCUUUCGCACCAGACAUCCAAUCUGGUUGAUUCAAAUUGUAUUAGAAAACUAAGUCGAACAACUACAAAUUUCAUAAUUGAGUUUUGCAGAACCGAAGCCUAAAAAAUUGUUAAAAUCACAUUAGAAGGCGAAACAAUAUUAUCAUAUAAAAUUAAAGCAACAUUUAUCACAUCCCUUAAGUGAAACAAUAAAAUGUUAAUUCUUUUUUGUUAUUAAUUUUUUUUUCUUGGGGGAGCUAGAAAAAACAUAAGCUAGGUUAGGUGAAGAGUGUUGAUGAGGAUAGAAUGGGUAGGGUAAAUUUUGGUAGGGCAAAAGAAAAAAAAAAAAAGAAAAGAAAGAAAGAGGACAAAUGAAAUGAAUAGGGGAAGGAAGAAUAAGAAAAAUAGCUCAAAAUUUAACACUGGAAUUGUGAUUCCGUGCCCCAAAACCCAACCCCCAUCUUCAUCACAUACAUACAUAAUAUAUAAUACACACCUCGAUUUGAUCGUUCAUCACUAAUAUAUAUAUUACUUUUCUUUUUUUCUCUAUUAAUUAAACUAACCCUACUCUCUCUCUCUCUCUCUCUCUAAGAAAAAAAGAAAAGAAAGAAAAAACAAAAGAAUCUCCCUCCAGUUUCUCUCUCUAGUUUAUGCCAGUAGUAAUGGCAGUGUUUCAGUGGCAGUGCAAGAAAAGAGAGCGAGAGUUUUCCUUGGGAAGGUAAACCAUACAUAACCAAAACCAAAACCAAAACCAAAUCCAAAACCCUCAUCCCCUAUUAAUUAUUAGUUUUAAUCAACAAAAAGAAAAGAGAAAAAAAAACCCUUUUGAUUAAGUUGCCAUACACACUCAAAACACACACAACACGCACUCUCUCUCUCUGCACUCUGCAGAAACUUUCUCUCUCCUCCUCGUUUGCGGUUUCUUUUCAUACCUUGGAAAAGAUUUUGUUUUUGUUUUUGUUGUUAAUGAAACAUUAAUUAAUUGAGAUCCAGUUUACUUUACUUUAUUUGCGAGACCAGAGAGCAAAAGAGGCCUUCACCAAAAACUGACUGCAGACUCUACACACACACACACACUAGUAAACACAAACAAACAGCGAAAUAUAUAUUUAGGAUUUUCUGUAAAAAGGCUGAACCAGUUAGCACAAAACUCGGGAGGCCCCUGCAAAGCUUACACCCUUAAAGAAGCAAAAAGAUUGCUUAUGCGUGUGUACAACCCUAACACCUUAGAGAGAGAAACUACUUAGAGAGAGAGAGACUGCUUAGAGAGAGAAACUAGAGAGAGAGAAAGAGACAAGUGGUGGUGAAUCAUAUCAUUUUAUAUUUUAUAUGACUGAAUAUUAUUGUUCAAGGGUUUAUCAAGUGUAGUAUUAGUGUAGCUCCUUCCAUCCAAGAAAUAUACAAGAGAGAGAGAGAGAGAGAGAGAGAGUUAGAGAGAGAAAGUAGAGAGAGAGAGCGAGGAAAAAAUGGAGGGUGGUGGUGGUGGUGGUGGUAAUAGCAAUUCUUGUAUGAUGGCUUUUGGAGGAAACAAUGAUGGGUUUUGCCCUAUGUUAAUGAUGCCUCCUCAUAAUAAUCAUCAUCAUACUACAGACGGUCGGAAUAACAACCUUUUCCUUCCUCUUAUACCGUCUUCCUCUAACCACCACCACGGCGGCGGUGGCGGCGGCGGUGGUGGUUCUUCUAUGAUGCUUGAAGAACACCACAACAAUGGCGGCGGGGGCAACAAUAAUAUAACGAGCACUGGCUAUUAUUUUAUGGAGAGCAAUAAUAAUAAUAACAACGAUGAUGGAAUUAAUGGAGGCGGCGGCGGCUGUUCUACAAAGGACAAGAUCAUGGCUCACCCACACUACCACCGCCUCUUGUCUGCUUACGCCAACUGCCAAAAGGUUUUUUUAAACCUUAAAAUCUUCGAAAAUUAAGAAGAAAAAAAAAGGGUUCCGAGUUUUGACCUUUUCGAGGGUUUUUUUUUUGGUGCAGAUAGGAGCGCCGCCGGAGGUGGUGGUGAAGCUGGAGGAAGCGUGCGCGUCGGCGGCGGCGAUGGGGCGGCACGGCGGCGGGACGAGCUGCGUGGGAGAAGAUCCGGCGCUUGAUCAGUUCAUGGAGGCUUACUGUGAGAUGCUGAGCAAGUACGAACAAGAACUCUCCAAACCCUUUAAGGAAGCCAUGGUGUUUCUCUCCAGGAUUGAGUCUCAGUUCAAAUCCCUCUCUCUCUCUGCUCCUGGUUUCUCUCUCUACUCUCUCUCUCUCCUCUCUUUCUCUCUCUACUGUGUAUUAUCUCGUUUCAUAAUAUAUAUAUAUACUCUGCGCACAGAUCUUACUGUUUUUGAAAUAGAUUACUGUCUUGAAUUUUUGGGUUAAAUAUAUUUAAUGAAUUCCUGCAUGUGCAUGUUUCCAAGAAAAUGGUGAUUUGUUUAUUACUAGGUAAAACAAAGAGUUGUUUGUUUUUCUUUCCAGAUGCAGUUCUUCCAUUGUUUUAUGGCUUUCUCUUUCUUCCACAUUUAUAUAUGUAUAUAUUGUAUGUAUGUAUCUAUACAUUACAUUAAUUAAUCAUGUGUUUUUAUUUCUUGUUUCUGUCUCCUUUUCUGGAACCCCUUUGGGAUUCUGUUUGCUGUUUCUUUAAUUAAUGUUACUGUUAUCCGCGUGAUGAAUCCAUAUAUAUAUAUUUUUUAAUAAUUUAAUUUAAUAAAUACUCUAGUUAGGUUUAAUUUUGUACCACAGUUCAAACAGAAGUGUGUGUUAUAUAGUUUUGUGUGUCUGCAUAUUUUUUGUUGUCUACCAUGGUUGUGUGAUUUUCCAACAGUUUAUGUGUGUCUCUGUGUGUGCGUGUGUGUGUGUGUGUGUUUUCCUGUACAAGCACACAUGUGAAAUAUGAUACUAAAUUAAACUGCAAUAACUACAUACUUCUUGUAAAAAUAUAUGUCUGCUUGAAUGAAAAACGGAAGACCUAAUUCGAUUUAUAAAUUGGUUAAAAUUGAUUCGGAUAAAUUCGCUUCUUUGCCGGUGUUUCAAACAUAUUCAAGAAUCUUGUUUGUGUUUCUCUUAAGGCAUUUAAGUCGAAUUAAAUUUAUCUUAAUUAAUCACUUAGAAGUUAGAUAUAUCGUUUCUUGUAUUGUGCAUUUCUAGCAAAAAAAUAUCGAAACAUUUUUGCGAAGAAACGAUUGUUUGGCAGCUUCCGUUACCUAAGAAGUUUUUGGUCAUCCGAAGAAGAUUUGUUACGUAAUUUUAUUUGAUGUUUCGAUUAAGCAUUUUAGACGACGAUUGCAUUAAAUCAAUUUUCCAUAAAGUAUAUGCUAUGGUCUUUUUAUUUUUAUUUUUUAUUUAUUAUUCCACGUACAGCUUGUGGUGAAGCGAUGGAAAGAAACGGUUCAUCCGAAGAAGAAGUUGAUGUGAACAAUAAUAGCAGCUUCAUCGAUCCACAAGCCGAAGACAGGGAACUUAAAGGACAGCUCUUACGUAAGUAUAGUGGAUAUUUAGGCAGCCUUAAACAAGAAUUCAUGAAGAAACGAAAGAAAGGGAAACUUCCUAAAGAAGCGAGGCAACAAUUGCUCGACUGGUGGAGCCGUCACUACAAAUGGCCUUAUCCAUCGGUACGUACGCAUUAUUUUAAAUCGUAUAAUUUAGGGUUUAUUGCAUUUGUAACCUCCCGUGUGUUUCUCAAAUUGCUAAAAAGAUCCACAUUAGGGUUUGGAGAUCAGACGGAUCGAAUCGUAAUUAGCCCUUUCGGAAAAUUUUGAAGUAGAAAACCAAUUCUAAUUCCGUUCCAAUUUUUUUUUGAAAACUGAGGAAUUAGAAUUUCAAAAAUUGGAAUGAAAAACUUGUUUUGAAAUAAAAAAAAUUUCGGAUUGGAAUUGAUGGAAUUUGUAAAUUCCAAUGUUUUAGUCACCUAUAAUACUAAAUAGAUAAUAAUAUUCAUAUUAUGAGUUAAUGUUUUUGAAAAUAAUCGGAAUUUUUGGAAAUUGAAGUCAGAUUUUAAAUGGGAAUCGUGUAUGUAUUCCAAUUCCGUUCCAAAACGAGAAUUGGAGGAAAAGGACUCGGAACUUCUGAACAAAAAAUAUUGUUCCAAAAUUGGAAAAUUUUGGAUCAAAAUCGACGCAUCAGUUCAUUUUUUUUUACCAAUUUCCACCCCUAACCCCUCGUGUUAUUUUAUUAGCAAAAACCAUCUUACUAUUCAAUUUUUUUUAGCAAACUAAAUAAAAUGCAAUUGAAGAAGUUUUAAUUAGCAACUCGAUACGACAAAGAGGUACGGAAUGCAAUAAAUUCAUAUAACAUAGUCUCCGUAAUAUUCCUGAUGAAUUUCGAUGACGUACAAGAUUUUAUAAACUUCAAUAUCUCGGUCAAGAAUGACGUUUAAUUUAAUUAAAUUUUAUUGAAUGUAGGAAUCGCAGAAGCUGGCGUUGGCUGAAGCGACGGGUUUGGAUCAAAAACAGAUAAACAAUUGGUUUAUUAACCAAAGAAAGAGGCACUGGAAACCUUCUGAAGAUAUGCAGUUUGUGGUGAUGGAUGCUGCACAUCCACAUUACUAUAUGGACAGCGUUUUAGGGAAUCCUUUCCCCAUGGAUAUUUCCCAGGGGCUUCUUUGAAACUAAAUUUCCUUAUGAGGGUUUUAUCGAAACUAACUUUUAUUUUAGUAUUUUAUAUAUAUUUUAGUGGAUUUAAUGAGACAUUUAUUAAGUGUCUCUAUUUAUAUAUAUUUUGAUAUGUUUAAGAGUGGUAUUGUUGGUAAUUAAUUAUAUAACCUGGAUAAUUGUUGUAUUAUUUAUAUGUUUUGGUGAAGUCUUUUUGCUUUGUCUUUGGUUAAUUCUUGUUUCAUAUUUAUUGAUUGUGCCUAGAUGAUUUUAUUUUCAUGUUGUCCUUUUUAUGCUGAUUUUAUUUUAGUAACAUAUUCUUGUAAUUAAUAUUUAUAGUAAUAAAUACAAUAAUUAUCAUAAUUAUUACAGAAUAAAUUAUUCUCUAUUUAUAUAUUUUAUAUGUAUAUAAAAAUACUUGAAAUUUUUACUAUCUCAAUUUAAAAAUUAUAUUUAUUCACAAAAAUAGAAUUUUUUGUUAAAUUAAUAUAUUAACGGGGCAAAAAAUUGAAACAUUCAUAAACAUAUUUCUUUAAAUUAUUUUACUACACUUAAUUUUAUUUUUUUUCAAAAAUAGUUAAAUAUCAUAUCAACAUAAAAAAUCAUUUUUAGCUUAUUUAAUUUAUAACUUUAUAAUGGGCUCUUAGUAUUUAACAUUCUUCAGUAUUAGUGUGUCCGGGCCCAAACUGCAAGUGGGCUGGUUUUUUUAUUUUAUUUUAUUUAUUUAUUUUAACAAUCAAUGUGAUUUAAAAGUUAAAACAUUAAAAAUGAAAUUUUACUAGAACGUUCAAAUUUGUAUAAAUACUAAAAUAACAAUUCCAGAUAUUUAUUUUGAAAAAAAAAAAAAAGAGUACAUUGUAUCACCGAAACAGCAACAAACAAGUGUAAGAAUUAGUCAACAUUCUUAAUUACAGUAUUAGUACCCUUAAUUAAGUCUUAAGCAUCUGAUUUUCACAUUCAUAAACACAAACGUUAAUUAAUUAAUCUCAGCAAUAAAUACCAUCACCCAAAGCCUCAGUCCAAACACAGCAGUGAAAAAACAACAAACCGAAUCUCCUCUAGGGUUUUGUUUCACCGCAAACAUCUACCCCUAAAAUCUAGGGUUUUUUCUUCUUCUUUUUCAAAUCGAUUAUUCGAAAUCGGAUUCGACAAUGUACCUUCAUUUUCGACUCGUUUACAGAUAGUUUAUGUUGUUAUCCAUGGUUUAAUCCGAGCUAGAAAUUUUUAUUUCCUGAAUCGAUUUAUCUGGAACGAAGAAUUUUUUUUUUCUCGCUGGAUUUUUUCGAGCAUAGUCAGAGAAAGUAGAGAGAGAAAGCUUUGACUGAGUAUCCAUGGCGAAAACGAGACCUGGUAAACGAGAUGUAGAUUCUUACACCAUUAGAGGCACCAACAAAGUUGUUAAAGGUACCAAACAUGGCACUGUUAUUAAACUUAUUGUGUAAAGGAAUUAUUUUUUGUUAAGAGUGUAGCUGGGAGCUUUGUUUUUGAUGUUUGUGCAUGCAUGUUUGUACUUUUAUUCAUUUCUUAGAUAAUAAUGUAACAAUGACGGCUUAUCGAAAAUUUAGCUAUUCGUUUUCUGAUUGUUGUACUUGGUUGGAUUGAAAGCUGGGGACUGUGUCUUGAUGAAACCAUCGGAGAGCAAUUCAGCUCCUUACGUGGCACGUGUGGAGAAAAUUGAGUCGGACAAUCGAAGCGGUUUGACUGUUAGGGUGAGGUGGUAUUACAGGCCAGAGGAAGCUGUGGGCGGGCGGAGACAGUUUCACGGAGCGAAAGAGUUGUUCUUGUCCGACCACUUCGACACUCAGAGUGCUCACACGAUCGAGGGGAAGUGUGUUGUUCACACUUUCAAGAAUUAUACUAAGCUGGACAAUGUUGGUGCGGAGGAUUAUUACUGUCGUUUCGAGUACAAACCUGCCUCUGGAGCUUUCCUGCCCGAUCGAGUGGCUGUGUGAGUAGUAGUACACUGGAUAUAGAUUAUGAUUUUUUAUUUGUGUUUCUUUUUUUUCAUAAUAAUGUGCGUUGCUAUAAUCUGUUUGGUAUGGAUUCUUGAUCGUAUACGUUGACAGAUAUUGCAAAUGUGAGAUGCCCUAUAAUCCAGACGACCUGAUGAUACAAUGUGACGAGUGCAAAGACUGGUAUGUGGAUUGCUACCUUCCUCUAUUACGAAAUUGUUGUGGUUGUAUUAGUAAUUGUAAUUAUCUCGUCUUUUGGAUCUUUGUGGCCCAAUCCACUAAUCAACUGCCAGCUGUUUUUUUUUUCUCCCCUCACUCAAAAACAACUUAUUCUUUCGUUUGGGAGAAUUCAGCGCUAUUGAUGCCUCUUAAUUCCUUCUAAGUGACAUAAGUGAAAUUGGUUGUCGUUUCUUGAUACACUGACAUUUAGAAUAGCGUAAUUGCCUUUCUUUAAGGAUGGUUAAAAAGCCAUGGUACUCGUAUAAUUGUUGUGGUUUGUGAUAUUGCCCUUUUACGAACUGUCUGUGUGUCUGUGUUUUUUUUUUUUGUGUAGGUACCAUCCUGCUUGUGUAGAUUUGACAAUAGAACAGGCAAAACAGUUAGCUCACUUUGUUUGCUCCGAACAUGGAUCUGACGAGGAUGUAAAGAAGCCUCAUAAAACCCCUCUCACUAAUGUUAAGGUAAAGGCUAAAGUGCUCGUUGUCUUUUCCAUUAGCGAAUCUAGUAUGGUAUAUAAUAGUUUAGGUAUUUUUUUAAUAUUUAAAAUGAUAAAGAGUAUAGUCGGAAAUUUUAUUGAAAUUUUGAAGACCCUUUUUGACUAAAAUAUCGGAUUCACAUCUCUCUUGCAGGUAGAGCCGAAGAGGCAGAAGAAGUAACCGGUUUCCAUUUCGAAGGCUCUGAUGCAGAAAUGUAAUAUUAAUCCUUUAUGUGUAUCAGUAUGUAUUCAAUGCCGCUGAUAUUUAUCGAGUAAUGUACAGAGCAGAAAACUGAUUCCCUCUGCUUAGACUAGUGGCCUUUUUGUAAGUAUAGUCAUUAGUUUGUGUGUAUGAAACUAUGUUGUACGCAGUUCUUGCUUGGUAAAGAGAUUAAUCAUGUUAACUUAAUUACUCACAUGUUAACUAUGUGUAUGAAACUAUGUUGUAUUCGUCCCUCUGUGUUGGUAGUAGUUCAUAUUUAAUUUUAGGUUGAGAAUGGCCAAUAUUUUCCACAUUAUUUUCUUUGUUUUUUUAAAUAUUUUUUAUUACAGUAAUCCUGAAGCCACGAUUGGUCAAGUGAUGGAUUAGGGGUGAAAGUUGGAAUAAAAUUUCAAUUUCUGAUAUGAUUCUAAUUUUUGUGGUGAUUCCAAAAAAAUAUAUAAUUUUUUUUUGGAUCCAAAAAUUACCUGUAAACAAAAUUUAUCUACUUCAUUUAGUGCAAAAUUGAUUAAAUAAAGGUUGAAAGUUAAAUUCAAGAAUAAUACGCACGUGAGUGGUGCUAAUUGGUGUACGUGUAUGGGCAUGCAUGUUGAUUUUAUGCAGCUGUUGUUUUCUAUUGUGUAUAUAUAAUUACGGUGAUGGUGGUGAAGUUAUAGUCUGUUUUGUAUAUUUGCUUGUGUUUGAGAUCUUCUGUAAUUUUGUCUUAAUCAUUAAUUUUCAUGUGGGCUUCUGAUCCAAAUAAUUUCGGAAAAAUCCGAACCCGGAAUUUCAAUAUUCAGAUUGAAAAAGAUUGUUCCAAAAUCGGAAAAUUUCGGAUCAGAAUCAGCAGAAAUCGAAAAUUUUGUUCCAAUUUCUACACUUGUACAACUUUUUGAGUAUUUUCUAAUAAUUAUUUUUCUUUAAAACAAAAUUAUCUGCAAAAUAGAAAUUAAUGAAAUAAUCGACAGUAAAAUUAGAUACCUCAAAUAGUAAACGAUUAGUAACUUUCUCACGUAGUAGUAAUCAACGUAAUUACAUUUCUUUCGCAUUCGUUUUAAUUAUUAUGAACGUAUCAUUUUUUUGCCUUCAAUUCUUUUUGUUUUUAUAGCCGGGAUUGUUUGUUUACCUUUGCACAAUUGUGUACAUGCAAAAAUUGCAAAGGCCAGUGACCAAAUUAAGCCUGGAAUUGGAUACACCUGCUAUUAUUAUUAUUACAACAUGUCACCUGCUUCAUGAUCUUGAGUCUUGAAUGCAAAACCCGAUUCCUCGUUCGAUCGUCUUUUUACAACACUCGCCCUUUGCAUCAAACGGACCAACGCUUGUACUACUUCAGACAUCGGUGGUCGAAAUUCCGGUUCAGGCUAUACAAAAAAGAAAUAUUUUUACUCGAAUCUAGUCUAGUAUAUUUUUAUAAUUUGAUGGUAAAUUUUGAGGUGAAUAAUACCUGGACACAGAGGGCAAUAAUGUCAGCAAAACGGCUCAAAGACUUUGCAGGAUACAUGCCGUCUAGGGUGGGGUCCACCAUCUUUGCUAAAGCAUCGAUAUCGUGGAGUUGAGGACUGGCCCAUCUCACAAGUGACUGUUCCGAUCUCGCUCUCGAACUGAUCAUGGCAAUAAAAUAUAAUAUAAUGUAUAUACACUGUACACUAUAUAUAUUGUCAUUAUAUGAAAAUCGGAAAAAAUAAGAUAUAUAUACCUAUCGAGUGGUUUCCGUCCAGUGAGAAGCUCCAGCAUAACCACACCAAAGCUGUAUACAUCGCUUUUUACAGUGUAUAUUCCAGACAAGGCGAAUUCAGGUGCACUGUAGCCAAAUGAGCCUAUCAUCUGUGUUGAUGAUACCUGUCAACAUUACCAUGCAAAAUUGUGAUCUUAUGACAUCAGAGUCAAAUGUUUUUGUGGGGUGUAUUACGAGAAAAAAGGAACUGAUGUUUGUUUAAUUUUACCUGUCGUUCAGUGUUAGGUGCCAAAGCAGCUAGUCCAGAGUCUGAAAGGUGGGGAUUGAGAUCUUCAUCAAGUAAAAUGUUUGCCGACUUUAAGUUUCUAUGUACAACGGAAGGCAAACACACUUCGUGCAAGUACCUAAGUUGAGAUAAAAUUGAUUUUAUCACUCAGUCAUCAAGAGUGAUAGAUAGAUCGUGGCUGUACAAAAAAAAAAUGAUUAAAUUGAACAUACUCCAAAGCUCGAGCAGUGCCGAGUGCCACCCUAACACGUGCAUUCCACGUCAGCAUUUUGCUUCUCUCGUCGGCAAAGUGCAGCAUAUCAUGCAAGCUACCAUUUCCAAUGUAAUCGUGAACAAGGAGGCGUUGACCAUGCUCGGCACAGUAUCCAGCCAGUGCCACGAUAUUUGGAUGUCUCAAUCGAGACAUAUUCGAAAUGACUUCGAGGAAAUUAUCUUCCUCCUGUAAUGACACCGCUGCAUUGUCCACCUUUUUUAUUGCCAUAAUCUGAAAAAUCUCAACAUAACAAACAAAAAACAUAAAUUUAUUACAUUCAAACCUUUUGCAACUUGUACUGAAAAAAAGAAAACAAGGAUUUCAUUACCUUCCCAUUGGAGAACUCUGAUCUAUAAACACGACCAAGGGAGCCUUCACCGACAAGAUUCUCUUGGCUAAAGCUAUUGGUUGCUGUCUGAAGAGAAGCGACAGUGUAAGAAGUAGCGGUUAUUGGAGACUUCAUUCUCCUUAUAGAUCCGUUUUUCCCUUGUAAUCUUUCCACAGUUACAUUUUCGGCAGGUGGUGGUUUUAAAUCAAGUGCACUAGUUGCAGGCUUUGGCCUUUGCUCUUGCAUCUCCAAAUCCACUAGACAGAAAAACACAGUCUAAGAUGACGGAUUAAACAGAGGAAUGUACCCAAUUUACCAAAAUCUAUGCGAACGAAGAUGUUCAUAAGAGUCGAAAACAACCUUUUUCGGUGAUAACAGGAAGUCUUCCUGUAGAGGGUCGUGCAGCAACUUCCUUCUUGUUUUUCCUUCUAAGGCAAAAAAAUAGUGCGAACAGCAACAAGAUUACUACAAACAGAGCUCCUAUAACUAUGCCUACUAUAGGCCCUGUUGUCAAUACAUUCUUGUCUUCACUAUGAGAAUUUCUAUUGACAUUGGAGUCAGGUGUAUGACCACUCGGAGGAGCUUGCCUACUGCUAUUACGAGAUCUGCCAGGUGGCGGUGAGGUAUAUGGUGGUGGAGGAGGGGCGGGGCCAUUGGCAAAUGUGUUUCCAUCAUUUCUGGUUUAUGAAAAUUUUAGGUGAAAUAAUUAACAAUAGUAAGAAAUUAAAUUAUGAGAGGUACUUUUAGUAAAUAACUGCAAUCACUUACUUGAAAUUGGGUAUGGAAAUUAGUUCUUGUGGGAUCCACCCGCUGAAGUGGUUGUUUGCAACAUUUCUGCAGAAUGUAAUACGAAUAAGAAUUAUAUUGAUGAAAAAUAAAACCCAAUAUAUCUUUCAUUAGUGGAGCUGGACACUUACAAAUUUGUCAAAGGCAAACCGACGAGGACGUUGAGAGAGCCUGUAAGUUGAUUGUUCUGUACUUGACUGCCAAAAAAGUAUGUGAAUAUAAAGUCCAUAGCAAUGCAAAGGGAAAGAAAAAAAACGAAAACGGAAGUGCUUUAUUAAUUAACAAUUGUCAUACUCACAGAGUUGAAAGAUUGGACAAAGAUGUGAAGGACGGUGGCAAAUCCCCAGUAAAACUGUUUGAUGAUAGAUCCCUGAAAUUGCCUUGUGUUCUUAAACAAGUAGAUUUUAUGCAUACAAAACAGAACUAAAAAUAGAAGUUGUGUGCUACUUAGAAUCAUUAAAAAAGGAAUUGGCAUUCACAGAAAAAUAAAACACAGAAACUCACAAAGUUGCUAGUGCAGAAUGAUUGGCAAACAUAUCUCCAAUUCCCUGAGAUAACAUGUUUCGGCUGAUGUUCCUAAGAACCAUGAAUAAUACAUCUCGACAUAAGAAAAAAUGACGAAAACCACUUAGGAUAGAUAAUGCAAACAGUCCACUUACAGAUAAUUAAGUGAGCCCAUAGUAGCUAUCGAGUAAGGAAUGUUCCCAGUAAAAUUGUUGCCCGCAAGGUUUCUGCCAAGAUAGAAAACUUAUCAGAACUUUAAUCAUUUAGAACAAGUACUAUAGCUCCUAUGAGAAGUCAAAUAAUUUAACAUUACAGGCUCGUAAGAUUUGGCGGCAACUGAUAUGGAAUCGAAUCGUGAAUGUUAUUGUUACUCAUAUCCCUGCACCAUAAAAUGGAAAUGAACAAAAGAUUUACCACAAAACGAAAGCGAAUAGCACAAAAACUUAUAGAUCCAAUUUAAUAAGUAGCUAUCUUACAAUGUCUUGAGUGAUGCAAGGUUGCUGAGCAAGUAUCCCAUUGAACCAGUGAUUCCCAAACCAGAUAUCUGGCUGUUCAACAAUCAAGAAAAGUUUCUCAUGAGCCUGAAAACUCGUAGAUUAAGAUUUCCAGGUACAUGUAAUAACUAUUACAUUAACAAAGUUUAAGGAAAGUAAUACUCACAUAGAGACAACUGAAGAACCUUGACAAGUGAUACCCUUCCAUGAUUCUCCACAUGGAUCGCCACCACUCGAUUUCCAGCCUGUUAGCUGUGAAGGACUAUUCAAAGACGUGUACAAAACUUGUAGCCCUUGAACUGCAACACAGUAGGCAAAUGCAACUCAAACAUUCAGAAAACAGAUACUAACUUCAGUAAACAUUUACAGCUAUAUAACAAAAUAUCUUCACACGUUUCUCAAUCCUGCCUAAAACAAGUAUAUAAAUAAUUCACAUUCACGACAGAAUUAGGUAGAUUGUUUUUCUAUACAUGCACUUCUCGAUCUUCGAUUUUCUUCAAAUCCUGGCCAAACAUUUGCAUGAUGUUCGGAUCUAUGAUUUUGGUGAGUAAAAGGAAAAAUAUAGCAAAUCAAAUUCAUAAGCAUUAUUUUCCUUUCGACAAAAUAAAUAAUAUUUUUAAUGAUUAUACAGUCUCACACAAUCCAUUACAAAUGAUGAAACGAACUAGAUGUAUAAAUUAGUGAUAGAUAAUUUCUUCAUCCCUUCCUCACCAAAGUAGAAGCUCCAAAAAUUAGUCCAUGGAUUAAAACUUUUUUCCGAAAAUUAGCUCCAAAAAUUGCGAUUAUGGAUUUUCAUCCAAAUAUGUUCCACCAAGUAAAACCUCAUAGCAUUCUCCUUCACAAUCUAAUAAUUUAAAAUAAAAACCUGGAAUCCCCAAAUCGAUAAUUGAAGAGAAAAUAACAACUCAUUUUCCAAUUUAUUUCUUCAAAUUCAAGCUGCUCAUACAUCAAAUCAAGCUAAUACCAGCCGAAAACAAUAAAGUAAAAAAAAAAAAAAAAAAAACGCAAGUAGAAAAAAAUGUGAAAUGCGCACCGUCAGAAGGAUCGGUAGCAGCAUCAACGACGGCGCGUAAACUGAAAAUCGCCGCCGCGAUCACCACAAGCUGAGUGAAGAACAGAGAGCUGGCGGCUACUCGCCCCUCCAUUGCGCUGGUGUACGGUGAGUAAUGAGUAUACAGUUGAGUAUUAAAGUGCUGAUUCGCGAACGCACAGUUUAACCUAAGCGCGCAUUGUUGGAGCAGAGGAGGAAGAAGAGGAGGAGAAGAAGAAGGAGGUGCGAUCCUGUGCGGUAGGUGUCACCAUCGUUAUAAACACUCUUCUUAGAUUCGAAGCUUCAGAGAGAGAAACCAGUCCAAAUAAACAAAUAAUAAACACGAAUAUAAUAUGUCGGCUAAAUUAAGAAAUAUGCUUAAGCAGAAUUAACUGGCUAAAUUUGCUACCUACUAAUAUUUAGAUAAUUUCUUUAUUUAGAAUCAUAAUUAACAGCUCAGCAUAAAUAGUGUAUCUAGUAUCGGAAAUCUUGUAUUGAUAACGUGACAUUAAUUAAAUCAAAUUAAAUGAUAAAUUAAGAUUAUAGCUCAUUUUAUCUUGUUGAGUAAUUAUCAGUCAGCCAGAUUAAUUAUUAAAUUAAUCUUUUUGAUGGGGAAUUUGAAUUGACGAAAAUGCCCAUGGACAGAUGUGUAAUUUACGUGAUGUGCCACUGUACCGGGUCGGGUGCGCAUUUUGGAAUCGGGACACAUGAAUGGUGACAGAGGCAGACUGAGUUUAAUGGCAGGCAGAUGUGAGUGGAGUGAAUUGACUAAAUUGUCCUUAUCUGGUGAUAGUGAUAUUUGGGCCAUUUUAGAUUGCACUUAUGAUUUAUACUAAUUUCUUUGACCUAGAAAAUGUGACUUUUUGGUUACGAGACAAAAGCGAAAGGUAAAAUUUUUUAUGAGUUUUGGACCAAUCAGCAAAAAGAACAGGUCGAUUGUUAUUUUUCUAAUAUUCCCCGAGGUAAAGUGUAAUUACGAAAAAACCCUUAUUUAUGAGAAAUUAUAUCCGGGACCCUAUAGUUUGUAAUUUUACAUCUACCCCUUACAAAGGGGUGUUAGUGUAAGAAAUCUACAAAUUACAAGGGGGUUGAUGUAAUUAUGGAAAAAAAUAAGGGGGGGGGGGGGGGGGGGGGGGGGGGGGGGGGGUGGGUUUCGUUAAUAGACCUUACCUUAGGGGAUGAUUGUAAGUUACCCUCCAAUUACAAUCCACUCAACUAUGUUAUUGUCUUACAAGUCCAUACCAACUGAAUUAGGAUUUUUUUCGUAAGAAAGUACACGGUUGAAGGAGAUACUUAUAAUCACUCAAACAGAAGGGAGUUUUCGUAAUUUGACAUUACUUUGGGGUGUGAACGUAAUUUUCCCUAAAUUGUAAUACAAGGUGGCUUAGAAGCUUGAGAGAAGGGUCCCUACUUAACUAAUCCCCAAUUCCCCAUAUUAAUUUGACUGAAAUCUAUAUAACGAAAAUUAUGUCAACACUCAUCACCUACUUGUUAGUGGUUCUUUCAACAACCUUUCUUUAUAUAUAUCUACAAAUUACAGCAACAUAAAUAAAUAAAUAAUGAUUUGAUUGAAUAUUUAAUUGAUUUUCAACAGAUUUAUUUACGCUGACAUAUUCUUAACUCACAACAACCUAAAUGAAAAUCUGGUAGAGCUCCUAUCUGUAUCUCAUAAAUUUAAUCCUCAAAAGAAGAUUUCAACUUGUUACUUUUCUAGGUCAACAUUAUUGCAAUUAUUUGAAUAAUAAUAAUAAUAAAUAUUAUUUGAUUUUGUUAAUUUGAACUUAAGAUUGUUCUUAACAUGCACGUUGAUUACAUAGAUAAAGAUAGUCCAUUUAUAAUAGGGUAAAUUACGGUCACCCUAAGGUAAGGUAAAAUUACAAAAAAACCAUAAUGUUUAGGUAAUUAUAACCACCCCCGUUCUUGCGGUGCUGAAUUAAUGGAAAUUUCUAGAUUAUGUAGAAUAUUCUCCAGUUUUUACCCGUUUUAUUUCAUUUGAGCUCCACAUUUUAAAAUAAGAUGAUCAUAAGAUGUGUCUCUUGGCUUAUAAAUAUCAAAUUAUGGUACACCAGAAACUGUACUUCUGCACAAACGAAUACAAAUUAGAGAACAUUCUACGAAAUCUAGAAGAUUAUGUUUAAUUUAACACCAUAAAAAUGAACGUAUACAUAGGCGGAACUUACAAGGGGCUAGGGGGGCUGUUGACCCCCAAGAUGAAAAAAAAAAAUUAGGUAUUUUGGCACUGUAUUUUUUGAAUAUUACUUUUGGCCCCUAAAGUUUUUGCAAAUAUGUAUCUUAAUCCUUAAUUUUUUUUCUUCUCCAUAAUUAUAAUUAUAUAUAUAUAUCAAUUUAAUAUAAAAAUAUAAAAUAAAAUGGUGAAAACUUGUAUUAUUUGAAAUAAAAUUUAUGAAUAAUUACAUAUUUUUGAUUUUUUUUUAUCAAUAACUCUAAAAAUUAAUAUGAGACGAUGCCAUGAAUCCCCAAUAUACUAAAUACGAUACAUUAUUAGAAUAAUUUGAAUUAAUUUAGAUUUUUUUGUCAAGUUUAAAAUACGAUAAAAUUAUAAUAUAUUUGACAUUUUGAUUAAAACAUAUCAAUAUAAACUUAUUUUUGCAAUGUCUUGACCUAAAAAUUUUUUCGGGGCGCUGCCCCGAACCUCGAAAUUUUAGCUAGCCCCCCCCCUACAUUUUCAUCCUGAUCGAUUCCGCCCCUGAACGAAUAAGAAAAUUCAUAGUUGAGGAGAGUGGUUUGUAGUUAUCCAAAUAUUAUGAGUUUUUUCGUAAUUUGAUUUUAUCUAGGGGCGGAAAUUUAUCCUAUUUUUAAUAGUUAACCAGAAUUUGUAUGACGAAUUCUAGGGUUAUGGAGGACAAGAAGGAAAAAAAAAAGGUAACUUGAGAAUAAAGGCAGCAUCGAGAGAUUAUUACACUGAACAAGGCAGUUAAAUUCUUUCAUCAAUAAAACUUCCAAUAAAUAUUAUUUAAUAUUUAUUUAAAAAAUAGUAAUAAUUAAUGAUAUAAAGGGUAUGAUGUAAUUUUCAUAUAGUUAGGAAAAAUAAUAAAAAUUCAAUCACAUCAGUAUAUGCUUUAAGCAACAGAGAAGUAUUUUAUGAGAAAUUAAUUGUUAAGAGUAUAAAUAGGUGAAAUAUCGACAUUACGUGUAAAAUCUUUGUUGCUUAUCAAUUGUUGUCAACUGAUGUUUAAGUCUAGUUAAUAUAAGUUGGAGGACAAGAAUUCUGAGAAAUAAAAUAAAGAUUUUUUUUUUAAUUUCACAUAUAAUAUAUAUAAUAUAGGCUAAAUUACACCUAAACCCCUAAGGUAUACUAAAAUAACUUUAAGUUCUCCCUGUAGUAUUGGUAAUUACAAACACAUCCCUGAAACAAUUACCGGGGACAACCUUUCAUAUCCUGGGGACCGAUAUGCGCCGUAUUUGUUUAGCGCAGGGCUGUUAAUACGAAAAUUUAUAAAUUUUAUAUAAAACAUACGGAUUUAAAAAAUAUUGGGAGAACCAUGUCACCCCCUUAGCUCUACGUUGUCUCACCACCGUCUGAAACUAAGAGGCCGUUAGAACCCUAAUGUAAUAACUUAUCCAAUGCAUUAUUCCGUUAGGGUUUCUAACAAUGUUUCUGGGGGUAAUUGCAAUUAUCGAUAUUACAGGAAUCUUAAAAUUAUUUUAGCAUACAUCAGGGGUGUAUUUGUAAUUUAGCCAAUAAUAUUAUAUUUCACAUAUUAUACAUAAUAUAAUAUGGAUAAUAAGUAUUAUUAUUUUUUUAUUUCUUGGGUAGCAGGUGAAAUGUUCCAUCAUUGUGCAAUCAAUAAAUCAAUAAUUGUAGACUGUAGUACACUUGUGUCCCAUAAUCUGUGCCUUAGCUUCUGUCCAAUCAAAUCAAUUUAUUUCACUAAUUAAUUAUCUGAAUAUAUAUAUUUUUUUGCUGGCAUUUUCAACCCUUCAACUAUACUUGACUUAAUUGGAUUUUUUUUAAUUAUAUCACAUAAAAAUAAAAAUGAGCUUUCUUUAAUUAAUUAACUAUAAUCACGACUUAAUGUUUAGAUUCUGUUCAACGACGAAAUGAUGUGCUGAUGUAAGUCAAUUUAUAAUAUUAUAUAGCCAAAUUAUGAAAAUGUCAUUCUUGUUUGAUAAUUCACAAUUAUCCCCUCAACUAUGUGUCGUGUUACGAAUUUUUUUAGGCGCAUAGUAUUUCUUGGACUUAAAUUGAUGAAUUUUAGGGCGGGGCCAACUAUUUUAAAUCCCAACUUUUGCUUAGUUGAAUACUACCAAAUUGAAAACCACAAUUGAGUACAUAUUUAUAAGUUUUUUCUUACUUUAAUACCAAAAUAAAAAUAAAAGUACAAAAAUACCAUUUCAUACAAAAUAUUAAUUACAUCAAUUUUUCUUUGAAAUUACCUAUUUGAAAACCAAAUAAAAAAAAAGAAAAAAAAAAUCAAACACAAAAAAAAAAAACGGCCAAACCUUCAAACCUCCCUCCGUCCACCCCUCCCACGCCGCCCGCCGCCGCCGCCGCCGCUCCAACCAUCGCCGCCGCCGGACGCCGACGCCAAACACCGCCGAACGCCGCCCAACGUCGCCCAAAGCCGCCACCGUCGUCGUCUUUGAAUAGUAAGUUAUAGUUUCGAUUUUUUUUUCUUUAAUAUUUAUUUAAGAUUUGAUUGUUUGAUAUGUGUAAUUAGGAUUUGGUUGUUUUAGGUUAGAAUGAUCGUUAAUUAGUAAUGGGUGCAUCUGAUUUCAGUCGAUUUGAGCAUUGAUUUGAGAUUCGUGGGUCGGUUCUUCGUUCACCAUUUUCGACCUGUAUAUGUCGAUUUUUGAUGAAUGUUCGACAGGUUGAUGUCGAAAAUUCAUCAGUGUUUAUCUAUGUAUUUUGACGAAAAUUUGAGGUUUCGAACGAUACUAAUGCUUACAUAUGUCUAUUAUAGGAUAUACGAUUAGGACUACAUCGCUCGGAUUAUAUGUUGGAUGAGCAAACUAAUUUACUUCUCCAGAUAGAGCUCAACACAAUUUCUUCUUCGUUUCUGGGCUUACUGCCUCGUAAGCGACCUUCACAGGGUUAUUUCACACUAUAUUCUUUUCUCCUUUCNNNNNNNNNNNNNNNNNNNNNNNNNNNNNNNNNNNNNNNNNNNNNNNNNNNNNNNNNNNNNNNNNNNNNNNNNNNNNNNNNNNNNNNNNNNNNNNNNNNNNNNNNNNNNNNNNNNNNNNNNNNNNNNNNNNNNNNNNNNNNNNNNNNNNNNNNNNNNNNNNNNNNNNNNNNNNNNNNNNNNNNNNNNNNNNNNNNNNNNNNNNNNNNNNNNNNNNNNNNNNNNNNNNNNNNNNNNNNNNNNNNNNNNNNNNNNNNNNNNNNNNNNNNNNNNNNNNNNNNNNNNNNNNNNNNNNNNNNNNNNNNNNNNNNNNNNNNNNNNNNNNNNNNNNNNNNNNNNNNNNNNNNNNNNNNNNNNNNNNNNNNNNNNNNNNNNNNNNNNNNNNNNNNNNNNNNNNNNNNNNNNNNNNNNNNNNNNNNNNNNNNNNNNNNNNNNNNNNNNNNNNNNNNNNNNNNNNNNNNNNNNNNNNNNNNNNNNNNNNNNNNNNNNNNNNNNNNNNNNNNNNNNNNNNNNNNNNNNNNNNNNNNNNNNNNNNNNNNNNNNNNNNNNNNNNNNNNNNNNNNNNNNNNNNNNNNNNNNNNNNNNNNNNNNNNNNNNNNNNNNNNNNNNNNNNNNNNNNNNNNNNNNNNNNNNNNNNNNNNNNNNNNNNNNNNNNNNNNNNNNNNNNNNNNNNNNNNNNNNNNNNNNNNNNNNNNNNNNNNNNNNNNNNNNNNNNNNNNNNNNNNNNNNNNNNNNNNNNNNNNNNNNNNNNNNNNNNNNNNNNNNNNNNNNNNNNNNNNNNNNNNNNNNNNNNNNNNNNNNNNNNNNNNNNNNNNNNNNNNNNNNNNNNNNNNNNNNNNNNNNNNNNNNNNNNNNNNNNNNNNNNNNNNNNNNNNNNNNNNNNNNNNNNNNNNNNNNNNNNNNNNNNNNNNNNNNNNNNNNNNNNNNNNNNNNNNNNNNNNNNNNNNNNNNNNNNNNNNNNNNNNNNNNNNNNNNNNNNNNNNNNNNNNNNNNNNNNNNNNNNNNNNNNNNNNNNNNNNNNNNNNNNNNNNNNNNNNNNNNNNNNNNNNNNNNNNNNNNNNNNNNNNNNNNNNNNNNNNNNNNNNNNNNNNNNNNNNNNNNNNNNNNNNNNNNNNNNNNNNNNNNNNNNNNNNNNNNNNNNNNNNNNNNNNNNNNNNNNNNNNNNNNNNNNNNNNNNNNNNNNNNNNNNNNNNNNNNNNNNNNNNNNNNNNNNNNNNNNNNNNNNNNNNNNNNNNNNNNNNNNNNNNNNNNNNNNNNNNNNNNNNNNNNNNNNNNNNNNNNNNNNNNNNNNNNNNNNNNNNNNNNNNNNNNNNNNNNNNNNNNNNNNNNNNNNNNNNNNNNNNNNNNNNNNNNNNNNNNNNNNNNNNNNNNNNNNNNNNNNNNNNNNNNNNNNNNNNNNNNNNNNNNNNNNNNNNNNNNNNNNNNNNNNNNNNNNNNNNNNNNNNNNNNNNNNNNNNNNNNNNNNNNNNNNAUAGCAGUCACGACCAAGAAAAAGACCACGACCAAGAAGAAGUCUGGAGAGAGUUCUUCGUCAACGAAUCCGGUGCCGGCUCUACCUUCGACUGUAGAAGUUGGUGAUUCGAGCAACGAACCGGUCCGAGGUCCCGAGAUACCGGAAUUGUACACAAAAUUUGAUAAGCACAUUGCUUAUCAUAUUGUGAACGGAGGGCCAAAUCGCUCGGAGCGCGGCUCAGAAUUUCGAAUUCGAAAUCACACAGGAACUUUGAAAGGUUGGGAGCCGGCGCCGUUUAUUACAGAGGUAGUACAAAGAUGUGGAUUAAUGUCAGUUGUACAAGCAUCGUACAACACUGUGGACGGCCAUCUACUUAGAGCCUUCAUAGAGAGAUGGCAGCCAGCUACCAACACAUUUCACUUACCUGUCGGAGAGAUGACCAUCACACUUGACGAUGUGAGUACGUUGGUCGGUUUGCCAGUUGUUGGGCGUACCGUAUCUUGCGAGCGUUUGAUCCGUGAUUCCAAAACGAAGCUCAGUAGUUUGAUGUUCGAGUUGCUAGGUGAGUACCCGGACGAUGUAAACAAGAAGAAAGCGGUGAAGUUGGAAUGGUUGAAGGCUAAAUUUAGCAAAGUGACCAUGAGAGAUAGUGCGGAGAAGAGGACAUACGCCAUUCGGGCGUAUUUGUUAUUUUUGCUCGGGUGUACUAUACUGUGCGACAAGACAGGCAACAUGGUAAGCGUGGAGUAUCUAAAUCUUGUAUCUGAUUUGGAUCGGAUCGGCGAGUAUGCUUGGGGCACUGCAUGUCUUUGCCGGUUGUACGAUGAGCUUUCCUCAGCCUCACAAAAAUCAACGAACUCGAUGGCUGGCUGGCUGACGCUCUUUCAGUCAUGGAUUUACGAGCACUUUCCUUAUUUGGCGGGUGGCACAUUGAAGACGGAAUUCGAGGGGCCAUUAGCGAGCCGAUGGGAGCCUCAGUCAAAGACUACUUCAACGCCUGAACGAGCGUCGUACCUGCGAUCUCGAUUAGAUGAUUUGAUCCCCGAUCAGGUAAAAUAUCAGUUUAAUAAUUUGUUAUUACUACUUAAGUAGGUUUUUAAAUCUAAUUUUUUAUUUAUUUUACUAGGUCGUAUGGUCACCGUAUACGGCUAUUCGUGAUCGUUUCCCGAUGCCAGAUUCUGCUUGGUUUAGUGGGAUGAUAUGUUGCAUGGACCACUUCGAGGCAUAUCAUCCGGACAGAGUGUUGAGGCAGUUCAACCGGGUGCAAAUCAUUCCAGGUCGUGCAUACAUGUCAAAAGAUAUGUACAAAGCUCUAGUUAGCAAAGGUCGACCGGUCCAGAACUCGAUUUUCGUUGCGUACGGCGAACGAUUCUCUGAUCGGUGGGAGGAGUAUUGUCUGGACGAGGAGUCGAGGUCCGUUGAAGUUGAACUCGGGGAGGCGGACACUUCGCCGGUCGUCCAUGAAUUGGUUCCGACCCAGAUGCAUGUUACAACUGAGUAGGCAUGGAGCCCAUCCACCUCGACCCCAGGCGGAUCGACCUCGACCCCAUGAAGCCCGUAGCAUGUCAUCUCGCACUCGACCCCAUUCAUCUUCUCCAAAUCCCAUCAUAGAGGCAACUGCCCGAAAUCCACAGUGUCCAUCUGAACCGACAUUGAUGAUUUCUCGAACGUGCAUACGAAAUCGUGGAUGGAUCGUGUCAAUGUACUUAUUCUUGCCGAUCAAACCUGGUGGCAAUCCCACAUCUGCAUCUUCAAAUAAUGGUUUGAACGACUCUUGCGUCGGUAUAGUGCUUUUUCCUGACUCUUCAGUUGGUAUAGUGUUAAAAGAAUCAUUCGAGUGCCCUCGUAAUCUCAUCAGUACAGGUAUAAGCUGCAGUAUAUUACACUUCAUUACUCAGCACAAUUAUAAAAUACAACUUCAAUGAAAUGAGACGAUAGUAGCGACAUUUACCUUUGGAGAACAACUAGCUUGCUUCGAUUUUUUUUUCUUUGGCUCCACAUACUCAAAAUGUGAUUUGUCCCGAGUGCUUGAUUUGUCUUUCCUAUUUUUUGCCGGUCGACCUUUGCUAACAACUUUUUCACUUGGCUCCGUAAGGUUAGUCUUCUCUGGGUGGGUAAAAUGUCUCAAAUGGUUGCGCAAUCGAGUUUUUGCAUCGAGAUCGGCACAUUCAAAGAGCUUCUGGUAUUCCGAUAAUUCUUCGUCGAUGGUUGGUAGGAUGACUUGGUCUGUGGUCGCGACGGGCUCCAUACUCAUGUGUUUCCAAUACGAGCCUAUUAACUCAAGUGGGAUAGGACAUUUGUUCACAACAACAUACUCAUGAAGUUCAUGGCGACAUGGUAGACUGUGGGUUGUUCGGAUGGCGCAACUACAACCCAUAUCGCUCGGUUGCAAUAGUUUCGCAUUGUCCACCUCAACUUUGAGUAGUUGCAGAGCGUAUUUUGAGAUACUUCCACGAAGCUCAUUGUAUAUCAACGUUUUGAAAGUGUGCUCGUAAGUAUUUUUACUUACUUCAAAGGAAGCCUUGAUGUCAUUGUGUUGUUCGACAAUUUGAUUGUGGACUUUCGUAUACAAAUCUACAAAUGUGCCAGUUGAAUUACGCACAUCCCUUUUCAUUCGUCCGUGUGCCCCCUCCACCCUAUUAGAAGUGUACGUUCCAAAAUGAGUAUACUUAUUUGUCCACACCGAUACAAGUCUCUCCUUGUACGGAUCCAACCAUGAAUUAGCUACAUAUUCUAUAGCCGGGAGAUUACCGAUAAAUGUUCUAUUCAAAUCCUCCCAAUCCUCAUUGAACUCCUCUAUGGUAUUUCUUUCAAUAAGAGAGCCGAAAAACUCGACUGAAAUUGCUUCCAUUUGGUGAUGUCCUUUGGGAACAAUUUCUUACAAUUGGCCACUAUAUUCUUGUUCACAUGCCACCGACACAGCAAGUGAUGACUCGAUGGAUACACAUUGGCCACUGCUUUCAUUAAACCCAAAUCUCGAUCUGUUACAAUGCAAUUAGGCCGAGGACAACUGGUCAUGGCCUCCUUCAAACAACGCAACGCCCAUUCAAAAUUUUCCGUCUUUUCGUGGUCCAAGUAUGCAAAGGCAAUUGAGAACGUCUUGUUGGUACAAGUAAAACCCACAAUCUCAAGAAAUGGGAGUCCGUAACGAUUGGUCUUGUACGUGCAAUCGAUGACGAAUACGUACGGAUACGACUGUGCCAACUUAAUGCAUUUCGGGUGGAUCCAAAACAAGUCGGUAAUCGCAUUCAACUCGUUCGAUCUAUGGUACGAGAGGUAUUCAUCUUCUUUCAACUUGACGAACAAUGAUUGCAAUUGAGAUCUCCCAUCCAAUUCACUGAAAUUUAACUUAGAGAUAGUAUUGUAAACUGUCUUCAUACCAGUUACAUUAGACGGGUCCUUUUGCUUCAAUGCUCUUAGAAUUGCCCUUGGUUUCACCAUUGCUUUCUUCAUAGUGUGAACAAAGGAAACAUCCUCAUUUGAUAAUCUUCCAGCAUAAGAGUGUCCGUGCAAGUUUUCGAAUAAGUUGUGGUUGUGAAUACCACUAUGAACAUCCAAUUUCCACUCAACCUUUUCAUCAUCCUUGUGUUCUCUUGUCCCCUUCAAUUUAAACGGACAAUUGUAUUUCUUUGAACCGGUGCUCCUUUUUCCCGGUCUUUGAUCAUCUUCACCUGGUACCUUCUUGCCAACAUAAUGGCCCCCACGCUCACAACGAACAAUCACAUACGGUGUCCUACGUCCUCUAUCCCCGUCACUCGAACCCCCAAUCAUUAACACCAUUCCAAUUCUUUUACAUACUUCACGAACCCAUGCCAAUAAAGCUUCUUUUGUUGGGAAUUUUUCUGACGUGGUAAAUGAAUGGGUGCAAUCGAUCUACACAAAAGUGUCGAAAAUAUAAGACAAGUAAAUUUGCAACAUGAACCAAAUCGACACUUAAGUGUCGAAAAUUACCCACAUUUUCGACACUUAAGUGUCGAAAAUAGAGAUAAUUUUCGACGCCUAAAUGUCGAAUUUUGAUACAAUUUUCGACACCUUAGUGUCGAAAAUUUGGGUAAUUUUCGACACUUAAGUGUCGAAAAUUGUAUCAUUAAUUCGACACUUAGGCGUCGAAAAUUAGGGGUAUUUUCGACACAUACACGUCGAAAAAUAAGGGUAUUUUCGACCUGUAUGUGUCGAAAAUACAUGGCGAGUUUUAAAAAAAAAAAAAUUUCAAAAUCGAUGUUUUAGCUCAAAAAAUACAUGAAUACAUACCUGAAUGGGUUCUCCUUGCUCGUAAACUACCAUUCUAUUGUCAUUUGACGCCAUUUUGCAAGUUGUGUAAGGUUUUGAUUUCUUUUGUUUUGGGGUUUUUUAGGAGGGUUUUUGGGGAGGGAGAAGAAGGAGGUGGAGGAGGUGAGGGGUUUGUGAGUGAGGAGGGAAAUGUUUUUUUUAGGUUUUUGAUUAUUUGGUAUUUAAGAAAGGAAAAUAGUAUUUGUAAUAUUUUUUUGGUUUUAAUUUUCAUUAAGGGCAUUAAAGUAAUUUACAAUUAAUUAUUUAUUUUUUAUUUUUUUGGUAUUCAAGUGAGCAAAAAUUAGUAUUUGAAAUAGUGAUCCCCUUUUAGGGCUGAUGUAGCUAAAACAAUAUUUGGACCUUUGACUUUCCAAAAUCCAAUUUCAUUGGGCUUCUUACUAUGUGGGCUUACAUUAAAAUGAACGGGCCGGGCCAUUUCCGUCAAACAAAACGGUGCCGUUUAAUAACAUCAAACCAUUGUGUAACUGUUGGAACCGCACCGAACUCACUGUACAUGUAUGGUGGAAUUGACUUUACUCGAAAGCCGCCUCGUGCUCGAGUAUUUAUUCAGCACAAUCGUAAUAAAUAAAUAAUAAAAUAAAUAAAAAUAAAUUAAUUUUAAAAAAAAAAUCUCGUACGACCAUAAAUAUGAACAAGAAGAAGGCGCUGUCAAUUUUGAUGCGGACCAGGAUGCACCCACCUUCCCCCACCACCACCACCACCACCGCCGCCGUGAGUUUUAUUCCUUUGACCUGAAUUUAAAGCAACUCCGAUUGAUUUUCAAUUUAAUUUCCAAUGUUUAAUCAUUCAGUUUGAUUCAAUUACUGAUUCAGAACAAAAUGAAUCAAAUGCAAUUUCCGCCAUUGGAUGCCGACAACAAAGCUUCUUCGUCUUCUUCCCGAGAUGCAUCUACCAGUUUCCACGUGUAUGUUUUUUUAUAUAAUUAUUAAUUAGUGUUUGUGUUUCUAAUUAAAUCUCACUAAUUGCGAGAAAUGAGUUUAAAUCAUCGCUUGAUUUAAGUAGUGAUCAGCAGUUAAUUUCUUUUCUGAAAGGCUAAGUAGUGAAUAAUUUAAGGGGUUUUAUGCUAAAAAAAAGUAUGCAUUAUAAGGGGGGGUUUUGCCGAUAAAAAUAAGUUAGGGGGGGUUUUUAGGAAUUAGAAAAAAUACAGGGGUGCCGUAUGCAAUAAGCUCUGUGGAAAAUUGUUGAAUCAGUGGCGAUCAGGAUUCAAAUAUUCUGUGUUUUUAUGUGAAAAGGCUAAAUUAUGAUUAUUUUGAAGUCGAUUUUCCGAAAGCAAAUAGGAUUUAGUGUAAUAAGAAAUGAAUAUGGGCUAAAAAUGAAAAUUCUUCGAGCAUGGACCGAUCGACUUUUUGUAGGAUUUAGCCGUUGCUUGGUUACCGAGAUAUCUGGAUGUGGUCGAAUAUUUUAACCUAUGUAAAUGGUUUUCUUCAGAGACUUUGUAAGAGUAAAAGAGUCAAUGCACAACGCUAUUUCGAUGAACAAAAUAGAGAUUCUAGACGCUGCACUAGAUGAUUUCUCCGAGGCAAGUUUUUUCCGAAAUGUCUACACAUGCCAGUGAUUUGUUUUAAAGUAUUUUUAGUAAUUAUCGCGCACUAAAAAUGCAGGGGUAUUUUGGUCUUUCCAAUGAAAACCGUCGGGUAUUACUUCUGACACUUGCUACACAAUACGAUCUCAACCGGAAGCAAGUUCGUGAGUUGAUGAAACAAUAUCUCGGGCUCGAUCUUCCAAACGGUAAAUUAAUGAUUAUUUAUAAUUAUUUUGGAAAAUGGGAUUGGAUUAAUAAAUUGCUUUUAGGUGACGAGUAUGAUUAUUUAUAAUUAUUUUGGAAAAUGGGAUUGGAUUAAUAAAUUGCUUUUAGGUGACGAGUCUGUGGAAAAUACGCACGAAGGGGAAGGGUCGUUUUCGUCUUUUUAUAGGAUCGAGCGGAAUUUGAGGCAUUCACUCAAGCCAAUGUACGAAGUUCUUUUUGAACGUUUGAAUACUCACCCUGGAGGAUUGAGAUUCUUGUCGAUCAUGAGAGCGGAUAUACUAUCUUUUCUCGCGUAAGGUUAUUCACUAAAUUAUUAUAUUUCGUUUUAUCGGUUCACAUUUUUUUCCGCUCUUUCUUUGUACUCUAAGGCCUCGUUUGGGUUCGUAAGAUUAACUAUAAUUAAUUAAAUAAUCGGACCUUAUUCGAUGUUUGGUUAAUCCAAUUGGGUCGGCCCUUAAUUAUGGAAAAAUGGCUCUAAUCUUGGCUGAUUUAAUUGGAGAUUAUUUAUUACCAUUGAGUGUUGGAUUAUUUAAUCUUUAUCUUAGGAACCAAACAAGGCCUAACUGUAUACUUUUCUUUUGCAGGGAUGAAAAUAUUGCAUCGGUAAGGGCAUUGGACUCGUACUUGAAAGAGAAGCUUAUUACAUGGCUCAGUCCUGCAAAUCUUCAGCUUCACAACAUAACAUGGGACGAUCCAGCUUCAUUGCUCGAAAAGAUUGUUGCGUACGAGGUAAGUUUCUUGUUUGUCGUUUUCUAUUGCACAAUGUGAAACUAUAAAAAAAAAUCCCGUCACUUAUUUUUUUGCAGGCGGUGCAUCCAAUCAGCAAUCUUUUAGAUUUGAAACGAAGGCUGGGUAUCGGACGACGUUGUUUUGGAUACUUACAUCCUGCUAUUCCAGGCGAGCCGCUGAUUUUUAUUGAAGUUGCACUCAUGAAGAAUGUCGCUCAAACAAUACAGGUGAACGAAACUAUUUUCUAACCAGAUACUCGAAGAUGAUCGGUCCGUCCAGCUGUCGUUGAUUCUCGACAUUUUUUAUUUAUUUAUUUAUUUCUUAUUACAGGAAGUUCUUUGGGAUGAACCUCCGAUGCCUGAAUCCGAGGCAACAUGUGCACUCUUCUAUUCCAUAUCUUCCACUCAGGUAUUACAGUUACGGGAUCGCGAUAAAUAUUUAGUAUUCUCGUUUCUUAAAUAUUUUACGUUCUUUGAGUUGUCCUAAAACUGGAUGUCUGAUCUGCAGCCUGGUUUAUCCGGAAUCAACCUGGGAAAAUUUCUUAUUAAACGUGUGAUUGAUGUGGUGAGGAGAGACAUGCCGAAAAUCUCUGUAAGUUUGUACAAUUUCGGGAUUUUUUUUGAUAAUAUUAUUCUGGGUAAAUUGCAACCACCUCCCAGCGGUAAAGUGUAAUUACAGAAAAACCGCCUUAUUUUUUAGAAAUUAUAUCCAGCCCCCUGCAGUUUGUAAAUUUCUUACAUCCACCCCCAACAAAAGGUGUUAAUGUAAGAAAUCUACACAUUGCAGGGAGGUGGAUGUAAUUAUGAAAAAAUGAUGGGUUUUUUCGUUAAUAGAUCUUACCUCAGGGGUGUGGUUGUAAUUUACACUAUUAUUUAUAGUAUUAUUAAUUUGCAAAAAAAUUAUCCCGUGUAGACAUUUGCAACACUUAGUCCUAUACCAGGUUACAUGCAAUGGCUAUUGGCAAAGUUGGCUUCGAUCGAGAGAUGUGAUUCCACUUUCAGAGAAAACUUGCUGAAACCAGAAGAAGAAACGGCACUCUUGGGUGCAUCCGAGUAAGCUUAUUUUUAUUGUUAUUGCAUAAUGUUAUUAUUUCUUGGGCAAAUUACGGUCACUCCCCUGAGGUAAGAUCAAUUUACGAAAAAUCCCUCAUUUUUGGAUAAUUACAACCACCCCCUCAACUAUGUAUUGUCUUACGAAAAAACCCCUCGUUCAGUAGGUAAAUUUGAUACCGUAAGGGUGAACGUGCAAGACAAUACAUAGUUAAGUGGUGGUUGUAAUUAUCCAAACAUGAGGGGUUUUUUCGUAAUUUGGGCAUACCUCGGGAGUGGCCGUAAUUUGCCCUUUCCUAAAAUCAACAAAUAAUAUCUACUACCUUUCUUAUUUUCAUCUCUACCAACUAUGCAACUUUUUGUCAGAUGAAACGAUUUUCUGAUUUUUAUUUUUAUUUUUUUAAUAUAUAUUAGAAAAUAUACCACCGGGAAAAACGGAAUGGAAGUAAUGUGCAACUUGUUAUCCUCAAGCAGUCACGAUUGGACUAAAUCGGACGAGCUGUCACUUGUUUUGAAAACCCCUUUAAUGAGGCUCUGCGCGAGGUAUGUUUCGUAAACCGAAAAUAUCAUCAAUUCUUUUAGAAUAAAAUCAAAUAAAAUGGAUAAUUAAAUACAAAUCUACGAGUACAGAUACCUUCUUGAAGAGAAGAAGAGAGGAAAGGCUCUCGAUUCUGUCGGAAACUUCCACUUACAAAACGGAGCGGUUUGUUAUGAAACAAUAAAUCUCUAUAAUUACAUUUCAAUUGGUAUAAAUUUUAUGUAAAUUAAUAUAGGACAUAAAUUGUGCUACAGAUGGUUGGACGAAUUAAUUGGAUGGCUGAUCGAUCCGAAAAAGGCCUAAAGCAAAGUGCUGGAAUAAUGGUCAACUACAUUUACAAGUAAGAUUCCCGAUUUUUAACGACCAUGAAAAUUGACUAUAUCGAUUUUAUAUAAAUUUAUUGCGUAUGACUUAUGUAACAUUUUAGGGUGGAGAAUAUCGAAGAAAAUGCUCAUUCAUAUUUUAGUGAAGGCCAAAUCCAAGCUUCUGAUGAAGUCAGAACUUACAUUUGAGGUAAAAUUGUUGUUAUAAAAUAACUCCGCUCUCGUUUUAACGCAAGUCUACACACACACACACACACACACACACACACACACACACACACACACACACACACACACACAUAUUUAUAUAUAUUGGGCUCAGAAAUUCAAGUUUUUGCAGCCAUGACAAGACAAACCUCUGUAAGAAGAAACGAAGAAUUAGAAGAUGUUGUCUAUACACACAGUCAUCAACUGUAAUUAGUAUAUGUAUUUUUUUUAAUUAAUGCUGUUAUUUAUACAUUAUAUCGUUUGUUUAUUUAUCGUUGUUUCUUGAUUCGGAUGCCAAAUGCUAAGCUCCAGGAGGGGUCAAAUGUUAACGAAAACGCUCCGACAAAUAAUUGUUAAAAAAAUAUCAGCCUGUCUGAGAAUUCUCCAACUGGUUGAGGUUCUUGAAUUGAAUAUUUGCAUAUAGUGGUGUAGAGUACAAUGUGUGUGUUUCUUUUAAUUAAUUAAUUAAUUAAUAAUUAGAAUACAAUUCUUGUAAUUUGUAAACAUUAUUAUAUAAUCUGUCUGCUUUCAUUGAUAAUGUCUAAAAGCAUGUAAUUAAUUAAAUGAUUUAAGACGGCUAAUUAUUAAAAAGGAAGACAAUAUGGCAUUUUCCCCCCUCCUAAUAUGGAAUCUCUUACAUCAUUAACAACUACAAAAAUAAAUAAAAUUCUUCCUAUUCAUUAAUCUCUCCAAAAAAAUGAAAAUCAUUAUUUCACUAACAAUUUUCUUCUAUGCACUGUUCUUCACACGAUUUAAAGUCGAAGCAAAGUGUCGAAAAGGCUGCGAUCUUGCCCUAGCAUCGUACUACGUUUCGGAAGGAUCGAAUCUGACCUACAUCAGCCAGAUCUUCGGCCGGGAUAUUCCCGAGAUUCUCCGGUACAACCCGCACGUUUCCAGUCCGGAUAACAUCCAAACGGGUACCCGGAUCCACGCCCCGUUUUCAUGCGAGUGCGUGAACGGGGAUUUCUUGGGGCACACGUUUCAGUACGUGACUCAGGGAGGGGAUACGUAUUCUAAUGUUGCUAGGUUUGCGUUCGCUAACCUCACGACGGAUUAUUGGAUCCAACGGGUCAAUGUUUACGACCCGACCCGGGUGCCGGAUUUCGUACCGAUUAACGUGACGGUGAAUUGCUCGUGCGGCGACCGGCACGUGUCGCGAGAUUACGGGCUGUUUGAGACGUACCCUGUUCGGGUUGGGGAGAGCUUGCAGUCUUUGAGUGUGGGGGUUGGUUUGUCAGCUGAGUUGAUUCUAGGGUUUAAUCAGGGUGCCAACUUUAGUGCUGGAUCAGGGAUUAUUUUCUUGCCUGCUAAAGGUGCGUGACGUCAUUAAUUACAUUGUUUAUAUGUAAUUUAUCAAUUCUAUGCCAUUUGAAAAGUGUUGGAGUUCGUGUAUGCUCUCGUGUGGUUUUACGGACGGAUGUGAUAAACGUCGUUUCAGUUUUAUAAGUUCUGCUGUUUUGAAGACUUCAGACGUUGUUUUGCCCGUUUUCGAGUCUAAAUUUGACAAAACUCAGAAAACGGAAGUUGUAGUUUUUUGAAGCUAGUUUUCUAAUACAACUCGAAUCACCAAAAUUAGAUGUCGGAUGACGAAAAUAUGCAUGAAUCAUUGAACAUUGCCCACAACCUUGAUGUUUUGAUCAGUUAUCUAGAAUUCAAAAUGUAAUUCAUUCAUGCAUAAUUUUGUCACUCAAUAUCCAAUUUAACUGAUUCAAGUUGUAUUAGAAAACUAAGAUAAACGACUACACGAUGUUUUGAAUUUUGCCAAAAUCAUGCUAAAAAAGAUUCAAAAUCACGUUCAAAGUCAGAGACGGCGCCAAAAUGAUGAUGCUAAUUACUUAGAUCACCUGGGGUAGUGUAGAAAACGAACUGGGAGAGCAAAGCAAAUCAGUAGCUUGACAACUUGAUGAUCCUGAGGUACCUGCGAAAUGAACACACGUGAACUACGCCGGGGGUUGAUUUUGGCGGAAACCCCUCCGACGCUCAAGUCAGACGUGCUGAUCAUAGAAAUAGUUCAGAGAAUACGUAUUGUAGUAUUGCUCAGUUAAUAGGACGUACCUUAAGGAAUGAGUUCAAACCUUUAUUUAUAGCUAAGUUGAGAUUAUCGGGCCCAAACCUUACUUGAAGGUGAUUGGACCUUGGAUAAUGGUCUUCGAUAUUGGGCUCGUGGCCCAGUAGGUAAAUAAUUUGUAGGCCCAUUGAGUUGGCCCAAUUAGACAUAUCAGUAAAUUUGAAAUGAAAUUUAGCAUUUCAGUUUUAAGUUUAACUAAAGAGGGAUGACAUCUUGUUAAUUUGUCUUUAAUUCUUGUCUCCAUCACAGAAGAAAAAAUAUUAAGAAAACCCCACCAAUCACCUAAUGCCACAUGUUUCCUACUCACAGGGUUGCUUAGAAUUAAGUUAAGUCAUUAACGCGUCAUUAGCGAAACAAAUGACCCAUUCCCUUUGGCGGGAAAAUUUGACGCCGUCAACUGCCGUCACCCUUCUUCAACCUCCAGAACAAAAAAAAAUUCUUUCAAAAACCCCAAAAUUGAAGUUCGAACCAGAUCAAUCAACUAUACAAACCCAAAUUCUUACUCAAAACAAACAUAAAUCUCCAUUUCUGUAAACAAUCCUGUAAAUAUAAUGGCGGCGCAAGGAAAAGGAAGAAUCUUUUCCAUAUUCCUCGUCUUCCUCACGCUCAACAUUUUCUGCGCCAAAAUCAAAUCCCAGUGCACCGACGGUUGCGAUUCAUUAGCUUCGUACUACGUAUGGUCAGGAUCGAAUCUCACCUUCAUAUCCAAAGUCUUCUCAACCACAGUCAACGCCGUCGUCGCCCAAAACCCCCAAAUCACGAAUCAAGACCUAAUUCAAUUCGGCAGCAGAGUAAAAAUCCCCUUCUCGUGCGGCUGCGUAAACAAUCAAUUCAUGGGCCGUCGGUUUGAUUAUCAGGUCAAACCUGGUAAUGUUUACAAAACUAUAGCGGAACUGUAUUAUUCGAAUCUCACAACGGUCGAUUUAUUGACGAGGUUUAAUACUUACCGACCUGAAAACGUACCCGUGGGCUCGAUUUUGAAUGUGAUCGUAAAUUGUUCGUGUGGGAAUCGAAGGGUGUCGGAUGAUUAUGGGUUGUUUUUAACUUAUCCUCUUCGUAUCGGCGAGAGUUUAUCGAGUAUCGGAAAUGAAUUCGGACUUUCUGAGAGCUAUGCAGGAUUUAAUCCCGGUGUCGAUUUUAGCGGUGGGAGUGGUUUGGUUUUUGUUCCGGUACGAGGUAAAAGUUUGUAAUAACAAAAUCUUGCAAGAGAAGUGUUAGUUUUUUUGAAGAAGUUGAAUUGAGUGCAAUAUAUCAGGAAUUUGUGUUUUGGAUUAGGGUUUCUAUUUAUAUUUGGUAAUUUUUGUCUCUGUCGUAGAAAUACGUGUGUCGAUAUUAGAGAUAAACGUUUUAUUUAUUUUUUUUUCAGAUCAAAAUGGAACUUACCCCCCAUUGAAAUCGAGGUAAUAACUAGUUUCUUGAAAUCUUAUGAUCAACUCGGUUUUCGAUUUUUUUUUUCCGCAUUUGUAUCUAAUACCGUGCUUUUUUUUUUUCUUUCUUUAUGCAGUUCAAGCGGUUCGACUUUUUCUUCGCCGUGUUCAAGAAUGUUUUAAUGUCACCAUCAAAUUAAAGUAUUUAUUUAUUUAUUUAUUUUUAUUUAAAAAAAAAAUAGGAAUCUCUGGUGGAGCCAUAGCUGGAAUAUCGAUUGCAGCCGUUUUUGUGGCAAUUUUGUUGGCAUUGUGCGUCUAUUUCGUCUUCUGCAGAAGGAAAAAAGAAACGGGAGGAACUUUUCUCCACAAUGACCAAAGCAUUGAGAAUGCACAUGGUAAUUCUUAAUAUUUUCAAUUUGAAUUUCGUAACAAUUUAUAUCACUAAAAAAGAUCGGUAAUUAUAAGUAUAUAUUAAACAUAGUUUUUUCAUGAAUAUAGGUCUAAUGGAAAAAACUUCGGAAUCGGGUCCGCUUGUUGCUAGUCCCUCUCCGAAGCUCAAGGGUAUUACUGUGGAUAAAUCGGUAGAGUUCACGUAUGAAGAAUUAGCUGCAGUUACGGACAAUUUUAGCCUUUCCAAUAAAAUCGGACAAGGUGGUUUUGGAGCUGUUUUUUAUGGAGAGCUACGAGGCGAGGUUUGUGCUCAAAUUAUCCGAUGAAUAAAUAAAUAUUAUUAAUUUAACGAUAAGUCGUCUUUUACUCAAUUUUUUUCGCUUUAAAUGCAGAAAGCUGCUGUGAAAAAGAUGGACAUGCAAGCAUCAAAGGAGUUUUUGGCUGAACUGAAAGUUCUAACACAUGUUCAUCAUGUGAACUUGGUAAUAAAUUAAAAAAAAAUAUAUUAUAAAUCCAAAUUACAGGAUUUUUUCGAUUAGGUUUUAAACAUCCUAAUUUUUAACAGAUAUUUGUAUAUAUUGAACUUUUUUUUUGUUAGGUGCGUUUAAUAGGAUACUGUGUCGAAGGAUCCUUGUUUCUAGUUUACGAGUACAUAGACAACGGUAACCUUAGUCAACACUUGCGUGGUAAAGGUAAAAAAAGUCAAUACUCGAAAAACUUCAAAAACAAAUGAAUUUCUUUCUUUCUUUCAGCUGAAUUAUAAUAUAAUGGUUUUUUUUUUAUUUUUUUUUUAGUAAUGGAACCAUUACCAUGGUCGACAAGGGUCCAAAUCGCCCUCGACUCGGCUAGAGGACUCGAAUACAUACACGAGCAUACCGUACCUGUAUAUAUACAUCGCGAUAUCAAGUCUGCAAAUAUUCUGAUCGACAAGAAUUUCCGUGCAAAGGUUGUUAAAAUCAUUGCUAUAAACUUAAAAAAAAUAAUAAUAAAAAAUGAUUUUGGUUGCUAAAUAUGUACAUAAUUAUGUUAUUAAGGUUGCUGAUUUUGGUCUGACCAAACUGACUGAAGUGGGGAGUGGUUCUCUACAAACGCGUCUCGUUGGAACUUUCGGAUACAUGCCUCCCGAGUAAGUUUUUCAGGCUUCUAAAAUUACGAAUAGAAUCUCUGAUGUAUGUCUAAAUUACGAAAACGACCCCGGAUAUAUGACAGGUAUGCACAGUAUGGAGAAGUUUCGCUAAAGGUCGAUGUGUAUGCUUUUGGUGUUGUUCUUUUCGAACUGAUAUCGGCAAAAGAUGCAAUUGUAAAGACGAACGAAGUCAUCGCAGAAUCGAAAGGCCUUGUUGCUCUGGUAUUAAUUAUUGCGCUUAAUAUGACUGUCCUAAUUAUUUGAUUAAUUAAAAGCUUGGUUUAUACAACUUUUGAUGAUUUAAUUAAUAGUUUGAGGAAGCUUUUAAGCAGCCUGAUCAGACUGAAGGUCUACGAAAGCUAGUUGAUCCGAGGCUUGGUGAAGAUUACCCUUUCGAUUCAGUCUCUAAGGUAUUUAUUACAUUGAAUUAGGGUUACUAACCGGACCGAUCGAAUCUGGAUUAGCACUUUCUGAAAAUAAUCGAAAUUUUCGGAAAUAUUUUUGAAAAUUAAAACCGGAUCAGAAAUCGGAAUCUAAUAUGUAUUCCAAUUCCGUCGGAAUUGGAACUUUUUGGAUUUGGAAUGAAAAAUAUUGUUCCAAAAUUGAAAAAAUAAAUAAAUCGGAAUUGGCGGAAUUCGGAGUUUCUGUUCCUAUUCCCACCACUACAUUGAAUUGAUUAUCUGAAAUCUGUAACAUAAAAUUCGUAAGAUGUAAAAAGAAUAACAAUAAAUUUUAUAGAUAUUGUUCGAUUAUUGUAAGAAAAUUAAAAUGUUCGAUUAUCGAAUGUAGGUAGCGCAUCUUGCGAAAGCUUGCACGCACGAAAAUCCGCAACUGAGGCCGAGUAUGAGAUCGAUAGUAGUGGCACUAAUGACAUUAUCAUCUUCAACUGAAGAUUGGGAUAUUGGCUCCUUUUAUGAAAACCAGGGUUUAGUUCACUUAAUGUCAGGCAGAUAAUUAAUUAAGCUAAUUAUUAUUUAGUAUAUUUGUUUUGUUUGUCCCAUGUUUUAUUGUAUUAUUAUUUUUUGUGUAGUUGUAAUAACAUUUCUCAAAAAAUACAGAUUUUUUUUUUUUAAAUUUUAUAUAAUCCGGUGAAAUUCUAACGAGUGUAACAUGGAAUAAACUUUGAUCAUAUAAGAGACCCCCAAAUUAAUUCAAUGAUUAGGAAAAAACAAGAAGAUAAAAAACAAUAAUUAUUCGGAAUAUAAUAGAGAUAAAUAAAAGCACAAAUGAAAAAACAAAUAUGUCAAAUUACGUGUCAUAUCAUUUUUGGUAGGUGCAUUUUAUGCUUAAUCCCACUUUGCACCCUUAAAAUGUAGUAGUUUGGCACUUUGCACCUUUAAAAAUAAUUAACGGCAUUUUGCACCCUCGAAACACAAUAAAUCAUUUACAAUGCACCACGAAUUGAAUAUUUAAACAUAAUGAGGCCAAUUUCAUUUUUUUUAAUUUCCAGGGUGCAAAAUAAUAAAUUAUUUUUUUCUUUUUCUCUACCUCCGUCCUAAUUUCGAGCGUAAGUGCGAAAAAAAAAAAAAAACACACACCGAAUUACUUAUAAAACAAUAUCUUCUUUAAAUUAUGUUUUUCCUCACUAAAGUAUUCAAUUGAUGGAUUUUUUAUAAUAUAAUUCCUGUCAGAUCUUACGAAUUUCUACAUAAAAAAAAAUCCAAAAUUACCAUUUAAAAAAUACAAAAAAUCACAUUCCCACUAUUUGAUUUAAAUUAGGUAAAAUCCCUAAUAAAAAUGGUAGUAUUUGAAAUUAUUAAACCCACGCACUAGUCGAGCGCGUGAGGUGUAACUUGAAGAAAUCCCCGCUGUCGAAAAUAGUAGCCGUUAAAUCCCAUUCGGAUGCAAUCACUCACGUGGCAAUUGUAGACAACCAACAGAGUCCAGAGAGAUCCUCCUGUAAUGGCAGUAUAUUAUUUUUAAAUUAAUUGCAAAUUAAAAUUAAUUAUUUACACUCCCCAUUUGCUUCCCAAACACCCCCUAAGGAUCAUAAUCACCGAAUUAAAGCCAAUAAACGUUACAAAAGAGCCCAAAAUCUCACUCAGAACUGCAUCUCCAUUUAUAUAGAUACACGCAUGUGUGUAUGUAUAUAUAUGCGAGUUGCUUUGUGGGUUUAAUUUCAAUUUUUCAACUGUGUGAAAGGGUUUGUGCAAGUGUUCUUCGCCUUUUUGAUUUGAUUAAUAUUUAUUUUAUUUGAGGGUGUGUAUUUUCUUAUUAUUUUUUUAAUUGAAGUUUAUGAUUUUGUUAAGAAAAUUAUUUUGUGAUUGAAGUUCAUAUUUAAUUGUGUAAUGUACAGAAUUUUCUAAGACAUGUUGUAAAAAACCCCGAUUUUCGGCAGGGAAUUUCGGUUAUUAUCCGAUAUCGAAAUGGCUACAUUUGGGGAUAUAGGAGUUGCAGCAGGAUUAAACAUUCUGUUUGCAGUGGCUUUCCUUAUUGCAUUCGCUUUUUUACGGCUUCAGCCGAUAAACGACAGGGUGUAUUUCCCGAAAUGGUACCUCAAGGGUUUGAGAAGCAGUCCCGUGAAUGCGGGCUCGGUCGUGGGCAAAUUCGUAAAUUUGGAUUGGAGAUCGUAUGUUCGGUUUUUGAAUUGGGUGCCGGAUGCACUCAGAAUGCCCGAACCGGAGCUUAUCGAUCAUGCCGGACUCGAUUCGGCCGUUUAUUUGCGAAUUUACUUGCUCGGGUAAUUGGCUGAUUAUUGAAUUUUAUAAUUGAAAAUGCUCGUUUUUUAAGGUUCGAUUUACGCAGACUCAAGAUUUUCGUUCCCGUGGCAUUGCUUUCGUGGGCCGUACUAGUUCCGGUUAACUGGACGAACAACACCUUAGCGAAAUCUCAAGCAGCCGAUCAUAACUUGCAGUAUAGUGACAUAGACAAGCUUUCUAUUUCGAACGUUCCGUUUGGAUCGCCGAGGUAAAUUAAUCAGUCGAUCUUUAUAAAUUUCCCGAGUCUCCUACUUCUUUUUUCGAGUCUUGUUUUGUUAUUAGUCGAGGCAUUUCUUGAUUUUUCUUCGAGCCGAAUUUAACAGGUUUUGGACUCAUAUAGUGAUGGCGUACGCCUUUACUUUCUGGACUUGCUAUACUUUGAGAAAAGAGUAUGCAACCGUUGCAACUAUGCGCUUGCACUUUCUUGCUUCCGAAGGGCGCCGCCCCGAUCAGUUCACUGUAAGAUUCAAUUUCUUGCUCAAAUUUUUCGUUUAUAGAAUGAUAUAUCUAAGUCUCUCUCUCUGGUUCUCUCUCUCUCUGGUUCUCUCUCUCUGGUUCUCUCUCUUGUUCUCUCUCUCUGGUUCUCUCUCUUGUUCUCUCUCUCUCUGGUUCUCUCUCUUGUUUUCUCUCUCUCUCUCUCUCUCUCUCUCUCUCUCUCUCUCUCUCUCUCUCUCUCUCUCUCUUACAGGUUCUUGUUAGAAAUGUGCCACCAGAUCAACAUGAAUCAGUGAGUGAGGCUGUGGAGCACUUUUUCUUGGUCAACCAUCCAGAUCAUUAUCUCACUCAUCAGGUUUCGAAGUUCAUUACAUUACAUUAUUUCGAAGAAAAAUAGGUUCGAAAUUCAUGUCCCGUUUCUUGAUUCUCUUCGUAGGUUGUAACCAAUGCCAACAAACUUGCAAAGCUAAUAAAUGAGAGGAAAAGCCAGCAGAACUGGCUCGACUAUUACCAAUUAAAAUAUUCAAGAAAUCAAUCACAACGGCCCGUGAAAAAGGUACCGUUAUUCAUCCGUUUAGUACAACACUCGCCUAAUUCGUGACCUACCGUUUUUCUUCUCUUCAAACCCGCAGACCGGUUUUCUCGGCCUUUGGGGCGAAAAAGUUGACGCAAUCGAUCAUCAAACGGCCAAAAUCGAGACAUUAUCAAAACAAGUAAAACAAAAAAAAAACUCGAAAAUUUUCUUUUCCGAUAAUUUUAUGUAUAUAUAAUCUAAGCAUUGUACUAAAAUGCAGAUAUCGGAAGAGAGAGAAAGGGUGAAAACCGAUCCAAAGUGUAUAAUGCCAGCUGGAUUCGUUUCGUUCAAAACUAGGUGGGCUGCGGCUGUAUGCGCGCAGACGCAGCAAACUAGAAACCCGACUCUGUGGUUGACCGAGUGGGCCCCGGAGCCCCGUGAUAUCUACUGGGACAACCUCGCGAUCCCCUACUUCUCGCUUGCCGUUAGAAGGCUCGUAACUUCGGUCGCCUUCUUCUUCCUCACGUUCUUCUUCAUGAUACCCGUAACUAUAGUGCAGUCUCUGGCGAAUAUCGAGGGUAUCGAAAAAUGGGCCCCGUUUCUGAAGCCAAUAAUCGAAGUGUGAGUGUAUAACCUUAUAUUCAUCAUCAUAAUAGAUAUGUAUAUGGAUAAUAAUAUUUAUCAUGGAAAAAUUACAAUUUCCGUCCCUUAAGUUUAUCUUAAUUCCACAUUUGGUCCUCAUUUUUCACAAAAAAAAAAAACAGAUUUAGUCCUUAUGUUUUAAAAAUUCAAGAUUUUUUAUCCCUUUUGUCAAUUCCCCGUUAGUACGCAUGUGUCCAUCACUACCUGAACUGAUGGACUAACGGUAAAUUUACGGAAAAGACUAUAAGUGUUAAAUUAUUGAAACAUGAUGGACCAAAUGUGAAAUCUAUGCAAACUUGAAGGACGAAAACUGUUAUUUUUUUCCUAUUUAUUAUUAUGUUUUGAAAUGCAAACCUUAUUCUAUCAUUAUAAAUCAUGCAGACCAUUUAUCAAGUCUGUGAUCCAAGGUUUCUUACCCGGGAUUGCUUUGAAGAUCUUUCUUAUAGUGCUGCCGACGAUUUUGAUGAUGAUGGCGAGAUUCGAGGGGUUUUUGUCGAAAUCGACUCUCGAGAGAAGGGCUGCUUUGAGAUAUUAUGUGUUCAACUUUUUCAAUGUUUUCCUCGUCAGUGUAAUAGCGGGGACCGCUUUUCAACAACUCGAUAGCUUUCUUCAUCAAUCUGCAAAUGAGUAAGUUACAACCUUUAAUAUAGGGGUGGCAAUCGGAACCGAAACUUCGAGUUCCGCCAAUUCCGAUCCGAAUUUUUUUUUUUGGAACAAUAUUUUUUAUUUCGAAUUGUGAAAGUUCCGAUUUUAUUCUGAAAACUCCGACUUUUUUCCCGAAAAUGACACUUAUACUACUAAUAUUAUUAUGCAUUUUGUAGUAUAGUCGACACAAAAUUGAAAUUUCCGAAUUCCGCCUAUCCAAAAAUUUCCCAUUUUAGAACUUUUUUUUUUCCAUUCCCAUUUUCAAAAUCCUGAUUUCCGAUUUCUUUUUCAAUUUUUUUUGGAACAGAAUUGGAAAUAGUUUUCCACUUCCGAAAAAAAUGAUUUUUUUUAAAGUGCGCGAUCCAUCCAAUAAUGUUUCACUUUGUAAAUUUAUUUAUUCUUUGGCAGAAUCCCGAGGACAAUCGGUGUUGCGAUUCCGAUGAAAGCAACUUUUUUCAUUACAUACGUAAUGGUGGACGGAUGGGCCGGUGUUGCAGGGGAGAUUUUACGACUAAAACCGUUAAUUUUCUUCCACCUAAAGAAUUUUUUUCUGGUAAAGACCGAAAAGGAUAGAGACGAGGCAAUGGAUCCGGGAAGUAUCGGUUUCAACACGGGCGAGCCUCAAAUACAAUUAUAUUUUCUUCUAGGCCUCGUCUACGCUGUCGUCACACCCAUUUUCCUUCCUUUUAUAUUGGUUUUCUUCGCCUUGGCAUAUGUUGUUUUUCGUCAUCAGGUAAAAAAUCACAAAUCUUUAUAUAAAAUACCAAAUCCCUUUUAGAACCAGUGGGGGGCCAUGCCCCCCCAUAGGUCGGCCCUAUGCUGCCUCCGCCACUGAUUGGUGCAAUUUUUAUUUUUAUUUUUUUAUUAUGCAGAUUAUAAAUGUUUAUAAUCAAGAAUACGAAAGUGCGGCAGCGUUUUGGCCAGGGGUACACGGGCGUAUAAUAUCGGCACUUGUUUUCUCGCAGCUUGUAUUGAUGGGAUUAAUGAGCACAAAAGGGAAUGCUCAGUCGACUCCGAUUCUCAUUGCGCUUCCGGUUUUGACCAUUUGGUUCCACAGAUUCUGUAAAGGCCGUUACGAGCCUGCUUUUAUCAGAUACCCUCUACAGGUUCUUGAAAAAAAUGCUAAAAAAUCUUCUAAUUUCGACAAUUUUGAUAUAUUUUUUUUUAAUUAAAAUUUUUGCGAUUUUAUUUUUUCAGGAGGCGAUGAUGAAAGAUACUCUAGAACGUUCGAGAGAGCCGAACUUGAACGUGAAAAGCUACCUAGAGUACGCUUAUAUACAUCCCGUUUUCAAGAAUGAAGACGAAGACGACGAAGAUGAAUAUGAAGGUGAGUGUAAUAACGGAAAAUUGUUAGAUGGGAGUGUGUUAGUGCCUACGAAACGACACUCUCGUAGACAUACACAUGAUCCGAGCAAAUUCAGCGAUGAUCGAGAGAGUCUUGAAAAUUAGACUCACAGUUCCCAUGUUUUCUUACGUUGGAAGCUGUGGUUUAAGGAGUGGAGAAAACAUGUGGUUUUCCUACGUUAAUAUGGUGGAGUUAUUACUACUGGCCACACUUCAGUUUUUAGAAGAAAUAUAAUUUUAAUAUUUUUUAUCGCACAAUUAUAUAGUAUAGAAUAUUUUAAUUCAUAAUUAGCAAAGAAAAGUUCAUCUAAAAAUUGUGUAACUAAUUUUUGAAUACUCAGAAAAAUAUGCAAAAAAUCGUAUACCAUAGCACACGUUUUUUUGCUAAAAAUCGAUGAAAUGUUCAAAUAUUUUUUAACGCACAAUUAUAUAGUAUAGAAUAUUUUAAUUCAUAACUAGCAAAGAAAAGUUCAUCUACAAGUUGUUUUAACUAAUUUUUAUAUACUCAGAAAAAAUUACAAAAAAUCGUAUACUAUAGCACACGUUUUUUGCUAAAGAUCGAUGAAAUGUUCAAAUAUUUUUUUAAUAUUUUUUAAUGCACAAUUAUAUAACAUAGAAUAUUUUAAUUCAUAACUAGCGAAGAAAAGUUCAUCUAAAAAUUGUGUAACUAAUUUUUGAAUACUCAGAAAAAUAUGCAAAAAAUCAUACACUAUAGCACACGUUUUUUGCUAAAAAAUGAUGAAAUGUUAAAAUAUUUUUUAACUGCACAGUUAUAUAGUAUAGAAUAUUUUAAUUAAUAAGUGGCACAUAAAAGUUCAUCGAAAAAUUGUUUAACUAAUUUUUGAAUAUUCAGACAAAAUUACAAAAAAUCGUUUACUACAAGCGAAGAAAAGUUCAUCUAAAAAUUGUGUAACUAAUUGUUGAAUACUAAGACAAAAUUGCAAUAAAUCGUAUACUAUAUAGCACACAUUUUUUUGCUAAAAAUCAAUGAAAUGUUGAAAUAUUGUUUUUAAUAUUUGUUAACGCACAAUUAUAUAGUAUAGCAUAUCUUAAUUCAUAAGUAGCAAAUAAAAGUUCAUCUAAAAAUUGUGUAACUAGUUUUUGAAUACUCAGACAAAAUUGCAAAAAAUCGUAUACUAUAGCACACGUUUUUUGCUAAAAAUCGAUGAAAUGUUCAAAUAUUUUUUUAAUGUUUUUCAACGCACAGUUAUAUAGUAUAGAAUAUUUUAAUUCAUAAGUAGCAAAUAAAAGUUCAUCUAAAAAUUGUGUAACUAAUUGUUGAAUACUGAGAUAAAAUUGCAAAAAAUCGUAUACAUAGCACGCGUUUUCUGUUAAAAAUCGAUGAAAUGUUCAAAUAUUUUUUUAAUAUUUUCUCAACGCAAAAUUAUAUAGUAUAGAAUAUUUUAUUUCAUAACUAGCAAAGAAAAGUUCAUCUAAAAAUUGUGUAACUAAUUUUUGAAUACUUUUUUUUUUUGAGCAAUAAUUUUUGAAUACUCAGACAAAAUUACGAAAAAUUGUAUACUUUUAGCACACAUUCUUUGCUAAAAAUCGAUGAAAUGUUCAAAUAUUUUUUUAAUAUUUUUUAACGCACAAUUAUAUAGUAUAUAAUAUUUUACGUCAUAAGUAGCAAAGAAAAGUUCAUCUCAAAAUUGUGUAACUAAUUUUUGAAUACUCUAACAAAAUUGCAAAGAAUAGUAUACUAUAGCACACGCUUUUUGUUAAAAAUGAUGAAAUGUUCAAAUAUAUUUUAAAAAUACUUCUAACGCACAAUUAUAUAGUAUAGAAUAUUUUAAUUCAUAAGUAGCAAAGAAAAUUUCAUCUAAAAAUUGUGUAACUAAUUUUUGAAAACUCAGACAAAAUUACGAAAAAUCGUAUACUAUAUAGGAUACGUUUUUUGCUAAAAAUGAUGAAAUGUUCAAAUGUUGUUUUAAUAUUUUUUAACGCACAAUUAUAUAGUAUAAAAUAUUUUAAUUCAUAUGUAGCAAAAAAAGUUCAUCUAAAAAUUGUUUAACUAAUUUUUGAACACUCAAGACAAAAUUACAAAAAAUCGUAUACUAUAUAGCACACGUUUUUUGCUAAAAAAUGAUGAAAUGUUCAAUUUUUUUUUUUUUAAUAUUGUUUAACGCACAAUUAUAUAGUAUAGAAUAUUUUAAUUCAUAAGUAGCAAAGAAAAGUUCAUCUAAAAAUUGUUUAACUAAUUUUUGAAUACUCAGAUAAAAUCACAAAAAAUCGUAUACUAUAUAGCACACGCUUUUUGCCAAAAAUCACCGAAAUAUUCAAAUAUUUUUUAACACUUAAAUAUCUAGCACAUAUGAUGUUAAUUUAUAAAUAGUAAAGAAAUAUUUCACCUACAAUCGUUUCACUAAUUUUUUAAUAGUCAAGCAAAAUUAUUAAAAAAAAUGAUCUUACAACCGAAAUAUAUUGAAAUAAAUCCAAAAUUCCAUCUUCAAUUGCAAAAAUAAGCACAUAAUAUUUUCACUCACCUUUCAAAGCACAUUAGAAUCCAAGGGUAGAUCUUCAUCUUCCCAAUUCAACACCACUUCCUUACUCUCCUCAUUCAAAUUCCCCAACAUAAACACAAUAUCCACAUACUGAGGGUGAGAACUAUGUCUCGUGAAAAAGGGCGUAAUCGUCCCAUGCAAUUCGAUAAAACUCCAACCCGGAAUCUUCCUAAGCCCCAAAUGCCUCAUCUGUACCCAAGCUUCUCCCACACCUUCCCAUUUCGCCCUCGAAGCAAAGCUAUGAGCCAACUGCACGUACUUCCCACCAUCUCCAAUUUCGCUUCCGGAAAGUUCCGCAGCAACGACCCUCCCAAUCUCUUCCUCCCCACUAUUCCUAGAAGCAUCCAACAAAAUCCCAAGAACAUCCAUGGAAGGUUCUAGAAACUUCUCUUUGUAGAAUCUGUACGCAUCUUGAACCCUACCCGCUCGACAAAGAAGAUCAACCACACACGCAAGGUGCUCAAUCCUGGCCUCAAUUUUGUACUCGUUUACCAUUGACUCAAAUAAGCUCAAACCCUUUUCAACGAGCCCGUUAUGACUGCACGCGUAAAGAAUUGCCAAGAAAAUGACAUCAUUAGGUGGGGCCCCACUUCGUAGAAACUCCGAGUACAUCUCCAAAGCUUCCAUCCCUCUGCCAUGGCUGCCGUACCCCGCGAUAAUCGCGGUCCAAGAAACCGUGUCGUGACGUGGCAUUCCGUCGAAGCACCUUCUAGAAGAUUCUAGAUCGCCGCAUUUAGCGUACAUGUCGACCAAGGCUGUCUCUAUACGUAUGCACGGUCCUAGGUUGUUUCUGAGAGCAUAGUUAUGGAACCAUUUCCCUUGAUUGUAUGCUCCGAGUGAAGCACAUGCUUGGAGAAGUGACACUACGGUUAUUGAAUCGGGUUUUUGUUGAGCUGUCCUCAUUUCUUGGAAUAAAUAAACGGCUUUAUCUAAAUACGCAUUCUGUGCGUAAGCAGCAACUAUUGCAUUCCACGAGACAAUAUCUCUUUUCACCAUCAUGCUAAAAACUGCGAAACUCUGCUCCAAUAGACCGCAUUUCGCGUACAAGGUGAUAAGUGAAUUUUGUGUGGCGAUAUCCGAAGACAUUUUUUGUCUCAACAUGUAAGAAUGUAUUGACUUCCCGAGUUUAAAAGAACCGAGCUGUGCACAAGCUGCAAGUACACAAGCUAUGGUUGCCGAAGUUGGGAAAACUCUCGAAUCCAACAUUUUCCGGAACAUUCUCAACGCCUUGUCGGAAGCAUCGUUCUGGACAAGCCCGGAAAUCAAGGCUGUCCAAAAGACUACGUCUUUAUCAUCUGACUGUUCGAAAAUUUGCAAUGCAUGGUCCACUUUCUUGAAUCUUGAAUAGAAAACUAAAAGCGAAGUUCCCACGUGUUUGUCUAAUUCGAAUCCAGAAGUCACUAUUUGCCCAUGAGCAACUCUUCCCACUUCAAAACUACCCUCUCUUGCAAGCGCAGAGACCAACGACCCAAAAGUCUGUUGAUCGGGUUCGAUAUGUUUGGUUCUCAUUCGGAAAAAAAGAUUUAGAACUUCGCCAAGAUUUCCGAUUGUGGAAUAGGCAUUAAUCAAACUAUUCCAAGAAACAAUGUCUUUCUCAUCCAAGAGCUCAAACAACUCCCUAGCUUCUUCUACUCUUCCACACUUGGCGUAUAUACUCGACAAACAAUUCAUUAGAAAUACCUCACAUAAAAAGCCUCUUUUGAAUACAGAAGCAUGCAAAACUUCGACUUGCUGAAUAUCUGAAACACCGGAAAGCAGAUUCAAAAUUGUGACUGAACUAGGCGGGAUACCUUCGUACUGCAUGGAGUCGUACAGUAAGAAUGCGUUUUUCAUAUCCCCGGCGUGAGAGUAACACCUGAUAAUGGCGGUCCAUGGGACAAUGUUUCUUUCGGGCAUUACAUCGAACACCUUCUGUGCGUAGUGAACGUUGCUUGAUUUUGCGUAGAAAUUGAUCAGCGAGCAUGAAAUGUAGGGAUCGGAGGGUAGCCCAUCAACGAUGAUGCGUUGGUGGAGCGAGAGGCCGAGAGAGAAGAGGCGGAGAGAAGUGCAGGCCUUGAGCACGGAUGGGUAUGUGAAGGCGUCUGGAGGAGUGGUGGUGGCGGAUUUGAGCAUGGUGGUGAAGGUGAGGAGGACAUCGCGGUGGAAGCCUUGGGCGGAGAGACGGCCGAUUGUGGCAUUGAGUGUUUUGGUGGUGGUUGCAGAGGCAGUUACCGGCGGCGGCGGCGGUGGCUUCGGAGGGUGGAAGUAGGUGCGCUUGAGUUUGUUCAUGGAUCAUGGUAAACUUUCGUAAGCCUGCAUUGAAAGACGGUAACUAAUAAAGUCAACGAUUCCGUUGACUAUACAAAUUUUAUUUUAAAAUAAAAUUAACUAAUUGUAAUUUGUUAAUAUAAUUUAGGGUAAAUUACAAAACCCCCCUGAGGUAUGGUCAAAUUACAAAAACCCCCCUCUUGUUUGGAUAAUUACAUCUACCCCCCUCAACUAUGAUUUUUUCUUACACCUCCACCCUUAUUGUGCCAAAUUCAACAUAAUCAUCUAGAUUCCGUGGAAUGUGCUUUAGUUUGCAUUCGUUUUGUGUAAAAAUACAGUUUCCGAUGCACCACAAACAGAUAUACACAAGCUAAAAAUCACAUAUUAUGAUCAUCUUGUUUCAUAAUGUAGAGUUUGAAUGGUAUAAAACGGGUACAAAAGUGAUAAUAUUAAAUAUAAUCUCGAAGAUUCCACUAAAUUUGAGGAGCUGGGAGUGGUUGUAAUUAUCCAAACAGAAGGGGUGUUUUUGUAAUUUGACCAUACCUCAGGGGGUGUUUGUAAUUUACC
rnacentral:lncRNA from 1 species